rnacentral:lncRNA from 1 species
UGAAAGUGACGUAGACGCAUGUAGACUUAUUUGGUCAACCGACAGGAACACAACAAUGAAUCUGUUUAUCAUAAAGGGAUUCGUUGUUCCUGACUCUGCUUCACCUUAAUUGUUAUUUGAACAAGUAAAGUUAUGUCUUGGUCGGAGUGGGAAUAGCAUUUCUCUUCUGCAUGUCCAUGGAGUUUUGAAAAAUCCAAACAUCUCAGAAAUAGGUUCAAAAAAUUGUCUUAUCCUCAAUCCCUUGAGUAGCAACUUUUUCAACUAGUUGAUUUGAAAAAUAACUAUUAAAAAUUUCUCAUUUUUUAAGAAAACACUUCUUUCAAAAGAGAUAAAGAUCAAAUGAGCUUGAAUCAUUUCAAGAAGUGAACUAACAAGUUAAAAACUACUAGAUAACACACACACAUUAGUAGGGUCGUCAAGCUUUCCACAUAGAUUUGGAGGCAUAAAAGAAUCUUGUUCAACAUGUUCUCCUUCCUUAAACAUGAUAAAGGGUAGGAAAAUAUCAUUAAAGGUUUAUGGUGCAAAUAUAACAAAAAUUCUUGGCUCAAAGGGGAUAUAUAUAAAAAAGGAAUUCUAAUAAGAUAAAGGUUGGCUAUUUGGCUAUGGGUUCCUAAUUAACACAAAUGCCUCAAUCAUCUUCAGACUAUUUUAUAAUGUAACAAAAAAUAAAAAUUAAGCAACCACAACCGUCAAUUCAUUAGUAAAACUCUCAAAACUAUUUGAGGUUCACACAUUCACAUGGUUUAAUUCAUCUCAUUCCUUUUUGUUUUUUCAUUCUCUGUUCUAAUCUGUCAUCAUGUUAAAUUUUCAUGUAUCACAAUUUCAACUACAUUUGAAUAGGAAUUCAAUCUUAUUUUCUUUUCUAACCUUUAUUUAAUUCAUGCCACUAUUUAAUAUUUAAACACAAAGUUCUUUUUCCUACAAUUCAAGUUUAAUAUUCUAGUUUUUUUUUUAUUAAAAAAAAACUAGAAAACUAAUUAAAUAUGGAAUUUAUUAAAGAGUAAUAAUCCAAACAUAAAAAAUAACAAAAUAAGCAAUUACAACAAAUUUAUUCAAGAUACAAAAUAAGCAAAUAACCAUAAAACAAAACAACUGAAGAAUAAUAUAAAUAAAUAGAAAAUUAAAACAAAAUUCAAAUAACUGAAAAGAAAAGGAAAUUAGAAAGAUAAAAUAAUAUUUUUGCUCAAUCCUCUCUUCCCAAGAAGUUAUCCAACUCUGUUUUAAAAUCUUUAUCUAUAAUUAUAGAUGGCCUUGCUUCAUUUGUUGGAUCUGCCCCCUGAAUAAUAGAACAUGUCCCUAGGCCAAAAUACAUAAGCUUCAAAAUGGUCGAGAGGCAUAAAUGGAUUGGGUUGCCUUUGAGGAAUUUCUUUUUUUAAAUCUCGCCCAGGCGAGAUUUGUCUCGCUUUAGCAAGAUUCCCUGCAAGAAAAAUCAAUUUUUCGUUCUCCAACUCGCUUGGGCGAGAUUCCCUGCAAGAAAACUCACUUUUACGUCGUCCAACCUCACCUAGGCAAGACAUAUGACGCCUGGGCGAGUUCCUCUGCAUAAAACUAUGGUUUUUUAAAAGAUAAAUCAAAACAAAGAUAACAAAUCAACAUAAAACUUAAAUGUAUAUUGGGUUGCCUUCCAAUAAGCGCUCGUUUCACGUCAUCUAGCUUGACGCCUGCUUAUCUCAAGAUGGACCAAUCCCUUUGUUUUAUCCUUUUGUAUGCAUUUCUCCCCUACAUUAAAUUUUUUUAGACCAUAAAAAAGAUUAAAAUUUACCUCAUCAUUUUUAGUUCUAACUUGAAGUUCUCAUUCGUCAACAUAACUAUGAUUCCAGUAGUCUUCAUAAAGGGUCUGCCAAGUAUCAAGGGAACCUCUUCAUCUUCUUUCAUGUCCAUUAUAACAAAAUCCAUAGGGAAUAUGAACUUAUCCACCUUCCCAAGAACAUCUUCAACAACACCAUAAGGAUAUUUGGUUACUCUAUCUGCUAACUCUAAUUCCAUCUUGGUGGGUUUGAUCUCCAAAUCACUUAUUUUCUCCAUCUUUGCCAAAGGAAUUAGAUUUAUGCUUGCCCCCAAAUCCAGUAAGGCAUUGUCAACAAAUAAAGAACCUAUAGACACAGGAAGAUUAAAACUUCCUGGGUCCUUGGAUUUUUUAGGCAAGCCUUUUUAAGUUACGGCAUUGCAUCUAGCUUUCUAUUUAUCUCUUCAAUAUAACUCAUAUUCUUCACGAAUCUCUCAAAUGUUGAAUCUUGCUUUAGAUUUCCUGCAAAAUAAUUUUUAGGGAACAAAUUAUCAAAAAACUUUCCCUCCUUCUUUUUUUUUGAAGGAGCAUGAUAAAUCUUUUUCAAGAACACCUCUGAUGGUGUUGCCUUUAUGACCGAUUGGUUUCCUUGAAUUUUUGAUGUGGUUUGCAGAAACUCAAUGGAAGGAAUGGAACAAGGAUGACUUCAAUGGAGCUAUGGUUUCCUUGAAGGUUCAUGAGAGGUAGGGAGAGUGAUUGGUUAGGACAUAUUGUAGAGGUGAAGAAGAAGAUCAAGGUGUCUAUCCUAGAGAGUCUAGGCAAGGGAGUGAGAAACUUGCAAAUUUGGGCAGCAAUUCACUCAUAUAUUGAUAUUAGAGAAAUGAGAGCCAAACACCUCAAUUUAUAGGGGAGAGGGCUAAACAUUUUAGAGUCAAAAUUUGAAAAUUCAAAAUAAAACUCUCCAAUUAGAAGGUGCCAUGUGGAGUCAUGCUUUCCAUGUUUAUUUCACAUCUUCCAUGCUAAAUUCUUUCCACUCCUAGGCUUCCAUGUGGACGUUCAUGUGCUCCAUGCCAAGGUAAUUUUCGUCCUCUAAAAUACCCUAUACGUUUUAGGGUUACAUUGGUCUCAAAGAAGCCCAAUCGUUAUCCUAACUAGUCACUUUUAACCCUAAUUAGACCUAUUUUACUAUUGGCCCAAAUACAAGCCCAAAAACCUAUGCUACUUGGCUCAAAUACUUGAUCCAAUUGUUUUAUGCCACUAGGCCUAAUACAUGGCCCAUGAAGUCCUAAACAAAUUUAUACAAUUUAUUUAAGCUAAAGCUUCGCCCAAAAAUAAAGUUGACUGGUUAGUCGAAACUCAGUAUUCUUGUGUUCUUCUGACCAAAGCUCUAGUUUAUGUUUUAUUGAGUUAGAGGUCUUCUUGGAUAUGUUUGUACAUUCCUUCAUCCUAGAGUUGUCCUCUUUAUUGGGCCUACAAAAAUAAACAAAAUCCCAAUUAGGCCUAUAUUUGCAAAAUAAAUCCAUCAACAACCUCUAGGUCUUCAUCCUUCUUAUUAUGUGGUUGUGUGUGGCUGGGGGCUCUGCCAUAAACCUCUCUCCUUAUUUUCACUUUUUUCCUCUUCACUUUUUUUCUGCGCUCUUUAUUUCUCAUCUUUCUCCCCCCUUAGUCUCAUUUUUUUCUUUCUUUUUCAACCACUACAUUAUUACCAUCCCUUUAUCCUACUAUUCUACCACUUUCAGAGGCAAUGUUAUUGCAAUGCUCUUUUGGGUUGGUUUGGGCGUUGGCUGAAAAUUGGUCACUUUGUCUCUCUGCUAAUUGUUUGGCAAUUUGUCCCACAUGAAUUUCUAUAUUUCUGAUUGCCAUCAUAUUAUUCUCUUGAUUGGCCAUAAUAGCUUUCAUGAAUUUUUCCAAUGUAUCUUCAAAUUUGUCCAGUCUUUCAGGAGCUGAAGGAUAUAAGGGUUGUUGUUGUUGUUGGAAAGGACCUUGAUUAUUGGAUGAACCACUAUCUUGAUUCCACCCAAAAUUUUGAUUCUGAUUGCUUCUCUAAUCUUGAGAAUAAUUAUUGAUGUUGGAGAAACCACUUUACCUUCCCUGAUUACCCAUGUAAUUUACCUCAACUUUAGGUGAAUUGUUCUGAUAAGAAUAACGACCAUUAGGAUGAUCACCUCCACAAAAAUCACACCUAAUUGGUUGGCUUUGGCUUUGAGAUGAAUGAAUAGCAUGCAAUUGUUAGGGCAAUUUAGCCAUUUAUGCAGUUAAUUGCUCAAUCUAUUGCUCAAUCGAUUGUUUCUGCGAAAUAACCGAUUGUUUUUCUGGUGCUGUAUUAAAUUGCUGUGUUUUUGGCUAACUCGAUUCUGAAUCAAGUUUUCUCAAAGGAAUUUCAUUCUAGACUAAAAAGUUUGCGAAAACCCCUUUAAACAAUUCACCCCCUCUCAUUUAAAGCCAUACAUUCUAACAUAACAUUCAAAUAUGUUAAGUAUUAUCAUUUAGGUCAGAACCUUAGAAGUACUUUCCAGUCAAAUUUAAGAUUCUAGAUCAUGGUAAACCAAGCAUUACAAACAAAACAAUAAUAUCAAUCAUUAAUCAAGAACAAAAUAUUAUGUUUAGAUAUCAUCUCAAUACAUAAGAGUUUGAACAUAUUACUCUCAAUCCUAAAGGGUAGAAUUAGUUACACAUGAUGGCUAUUACAAGCAGGGAGAGCAAGAAAAGAAGAUCUAGGAUGUUUCUCCUUGGCGAUUUCCUCCUCUAAUGUUUCUCACACCUCCUAUUCUCCCAAUUGGGUUACAAUUCACUCAAUGGUGUUUCCUUCUCAAUCUUGCACGUCUAGGGUUGUGCCUUAAGCCUCAUAUUUAACCUAAUUUUCUUGGGCUUAAGUGACUUCUCGCUUGGGCGCUAAUGGGCUAACUUAGGUGAGUAAAAUGUAAAAAAGCCCAAUGUUACUGGAGCAAUCUCGCUCAAGUGAGAAUGAUCUCGCUUGAGCGAUUUGGGGCAACUUUGGUGAUGCUGGUGCAUUCCAACUUUCCCUUUUUAGCUUUGUAUAUUCUCUUUUUACCCAAUUAUCUUCAUUAUUCCCUAAAAUCCUGAAAUUAACACAAAUUUGGGAAUAAAUCGUUCUUAUUUAAAUUAAAAUCACAAAAUAUGUAAACAGGUAUAAUUUCAUAAAUUAGGGGUUAUUUUAUACUUAUUUUAGCAAUUAAUACCCAUAAGUGCCUAUAUUUUAAUAUGAAAUAUUACUGAAAUUUGGCAUUUAUCACACUAGUAGCUUCCAAAAAACUUAUUGGAUCAUUUUCAACUAGAUAAGUGUAAAAAACAUAUCCUAAUGAGGUUUCCUUUCUUUGUCUUUUACUUCUCCUAACAUCCUUACCCAUGACAUCACUAGCACUAUCUAUAGGUUGUUAAAAAGUACCACUACUCUUCAAAGGAAAGAUAUGUUCAAAGAACUCAACAUUUUUCGUCUCUACUAUAAUGUUACGUUCUAUUAUAACACUAUUAAGAACUAGAAACCUAUAGGAAACACUAUGUUCUGCAUAUCCUAAGAACAUGCAAUCAGAUGUUUUAGAGGAUAUUUUCCUUUUCUUAAGAUCAAGUAACAUCACUUUAGCUAAGCACCCCCACACUCUUAGGUAUUUCAGAUUAGGUUGAUAUCCUUUCCACAACUCAUAAGGUGUUUUACCAGUUUUCUUAUGUGGUAUCCUAUUUUGUAAAAAACACGCGGUAAGUAGAGAUUCACCCUGCAGAUUAUCAGUAGCAUUAGAACAAAUAAUCAUGGCAUUUGUCAUUUCUUUAAGAGUCCUAUUUUUCCUUUCAGCUAUUCCAUUAGAUUCAGAUGAAUACGGUGGGGUUACUUCAUGAAUAAUACAUUCUUCAACAAAAUAAUCAUUAAAUAAAACAUAUUCACCACCUAUAUCUGAUCUAAUUCUUUUAGUUUUCUUAUUCAUUUGGUUUUCUACUUCCGCCUUAUAAGUUAAGAACAUGUCAAAAGCUUCAUCCUUAUGUUUGAUUAAAUACACUUUGGUGUAUCUAGAAAAAUCAUCAAUAAAUGUUACAAAAUAAUUUUUACCAGCUCUAGACAUGGUUUGUUUUAAAUCGGCAAGAUUGAUAUAAAUUAAACCAAGAAGUUCAGUUUGACGUUCUACAAAAUGACAUGUUUUCUUCGUUAUUUUAGAUUCGACGCAUAUAUCACAUUUACUAUUUUGUUUGUCAUUCAUGUUGAUUAAUCCUAGUCAUUGCAAUUUCAUAACAUACAAAUAACUCACAUGUCAUAAUCUAGCAUGCCACACAUCAUACGAAUCAACAAUAUAAACAAAAGAUCUAGAUUCAUUAAUAACUUCAUAAAUGUUGAAUACAAAAAGACCUUGAUCACAAUAUCCCUUUCCUACCAAAAAAAUUUAUUUUUUGUCAUAAGAAUCUUGUCAGAUUCAAAUGAUACUUUAACCCCUACUUUGCAUAGCAAUGCUACACAAAUCAAAUUAACUCUAAUUGAUGGCACAUGUAGCACAUCACUUAAAGCUAGAGUUUUACCUGAUUUGAGCUUUAAAAAAGCCUUUCCUUUUCCUAGGACAGGAGUUGUCCUAGAGUCACCAAGAUAAACUUGUUCUUCUCCAUCCCCCACACUUGUGUAGGAGGUAAACCCAUUUAUGUUUGCACAUAUGUGUUUGGUAGCCCCAGAGUCUACAACCCAUUUGCUCACAUCGUUCACAAGAUUUACUUGUGAAAUGACUGCCACAAUGGCAUCUUCCUCUUUAGCUAGAUUUGCCUUAGAAGGAUAGUCAUGUUUGGCCCUAUGUCUGCACUGAGGUGCAUGAUGACCUGGUUUUCCACAUACAAAGCAAUUUCUCCUUUUCUUAAAGGUGGGGUUAGUUCCAUUGGGACGAGAUAAUUUAUUAUUAUAUUUAUUUUUAUAAUCAGAUUUUUUCUCGUACCUUUUUGUUGAUAGUUUGUCUUCUACCAUGUUUGCUUUGGCAAUCAAAGUUUUGGCCCUUGUAGCUGCACACUCCUUCUUAUUUGUGUCUUCAAUAAUGAUGUCGGUGAUCAGAUCUGAUAGUGACAUUUGUUUGUGCCUAUGCUUUAGUUGUUUUUUGUAACCAGUCGAAGAUUACAUAAGCUUUUCGAUCAACAGUUUGGACACAAAUUCAUCAUGCAAGGCUAUACUCUCAGCUUUGAUAUCUUUAAGCAACUUGUGCUAUUCGUUUAUAUGAAUUUUUAUGUCUUUGUCUUCGAUCAUCUCCCUGCAAUAAUAGUUUCUGAUCCCAAACUUUUAUCUAACAACGUCUUCGGCAGUGUAUUUAAGGAUAAGGGAAUACAAAAUAUAUUUUCCUUCCUUGUAAGAGCAAUAAACAUAUAACAGAUUGUUAGAUAAUGCAUCGAGGAAGGUGUGACGACAUAACUUAUUUCCAUGGGUCCAAGCAUCAAUUUGUUUCACAGUCGUGCUUGAUUCGGGUUUAGAAAUUCUAAGUGUAAAAGCGACUCCGUACAUGUCCAACAGGGUAGACACAUGUUCUUACCAGCGUCGAAAAUUCUGACGAAUGAAGACUUCAAUUUUCGAGACGUCCGAAAAUGGUUUCGCAAAAAUGGUUUGCAUUGUGGAAACAAUGUUGAUGUUUCCUGAGUAAAGUUGUUGUUGUUCGUAUUGUUAACCAUAAGUUCUUAUGAUUGUAGUAAAUAAGGCAAUGAAGUUGUGAGUGAGAUGAAAGAACGAAACCCCUCUUUAUAUAGGGAGAAGAAUCCACAUCCGUUGCAUAUUCACAACCUAGAUUAGUGGCACGUUCCAUUAACUAGCCGCUGGAAACGGAGCAACCGUCGGAACUGUGGGGAAGAUCGCGAAGAAGAAGGAACACAAAGAAAAUGAAGGGCGUGAACCUUCCCGGUCGUGCGACCAUGAUUCUGAGUGAAGAAGGCAACGUCGCACGUCAAUCUCGAAGCAGAUCCAGUCUUCGGUACACUUCUGAGAUCUCCUCCAACGACAUCGAAAAAUCACUAAGGUUUGUAUGUCAAAAAAUAACACUUAAUAUUAAGAGUUUGUAUGUCAAAAAAAAUAAAAUUAGUAGAAUUGAUAUAGGUUUCUACUUCUGAUGUCAAGAAUUUUUAAACGGGUAGUGUGAUAUGGUAAGCUUGCAUGAAUAGUAGAUUUUAUAGUUGUUAAUAUUUUAGCAAUUGUGGGUUGUGUCAAUAUAUGUUAUCAUAUGUCAUAAAUAUCAUACUUAAUGAAUAUUUUUAUUGUAAAAUUGACUAUUUAAAAAUAGUUAUAUUUUAAUUUUACUAAAUUCAUUAUGUGAUAGUUAAGACAUGUUAUCGCGGUUGACCUUCGGGUUGACUGGAUGGGCAAGCUUCGCUUAUAAUCUAUCUCUUCUUGGUGCACUGGAACAACACUCCGUUGAGACAAAGGAGACUCUGCCUGUUGAUGACACUCUGACAAUCAAGUCAGUGAGAACAUACAAAAUAAUAAUAAGUUUUAGUCUCUAGUACUUAGAAAACAACCUCUCUUUAUCGGGGCUCUCAAGCCCCUUUUAUAGUUAUUCCUCUAACAGCUUUCACGCACGAGAAUAUAAUCUCUACUGAAAGUAUAAAAUAAUAACAAAAAACCACCUACUCACGUGAACCUUUCAUGUUUGGGUGCUAACAACAGGAAAAUAUUUUGUUCACUAACACCUUUAGUCACGGUGCUAACAACAGAAGAGAAUCUUGUGCACCAUUAUUCUCAGGUGCUAUGUACUUAUUUAAUAGUUUUAUAUAUUCAACUAACAACUUUAUGCAUAUAUUUAUUUAACUAACAGCUCUGUGUAUAUCAACAUUUAUAUUUAACUAACAACUUUAUAUUAAUAUAUGACAAAACUUAUUAUUUUCUCUAUUUUAAUUAUAGACAAAACUUAUUAAUAUAUGACAAAACUUUAUAUUAUUUUCUAUCGGGCUUACCAACGAAACUGGGUCGAGCCCAUGACCCGCUUUUGGGCCCAAAGUCGAGCUGACCAUACCCAAAUCAAAACUGAGACUGAAACUACUUUAUACACUUAUUGUUUCUUUGCCCCAGUACAGACUUGAGCGUCGGAGUGCAAACGUUCAUCAAGGCUGUUGAUCAAGAGUGAUCAAGGGCUUUGAAGAAUCCAAAUCCAAUGUGUUUGAUGCAAGGCUGGAGUUGUUGUUGUGUUUAGGGUAGGAUCUGGGUAGUUUAAAAGUGUAAUCCACUCUUUGUUGAAUCUAAAGCUAAUGUGUUUUUAAAAACGUUUUGAAAUUAAGUGUUUUUCGAAAGGUUGUUAGGUGUUUUUCAAAAGGUUGAAAACUAUUUUGGUUGUUUGACUUGCUAUCAAACAAAACAAUCGAUUGUUUCGUGGUACUUGAAAAAUACUCAAGUGUGAUCCUAAAACCUUUUUUCUAUGGCUGGAAAACUACCUUUUGAGGAGGGUGUUUCAAUUAACAAACCACCUCUGUUUUGUGGUUUGAAUUAUAAGUAUUGGGAAGCUAGAAUGAAAAUCUUUGUUGAAUCCAUUGAUCAAGGAAUUUGGGAUGCAAUUGAAAAUGGCCCUUUCAUUCCUAAAAUUAAAAAAAAUGGAUCUUUUAUUAAAAAUCCUUGGUCCCAAUGGACUAAUGAAGAAAGUGAGAAUGCCAAGUUUGAUUGCAUUGCCAAGAAUAUAAUAACUUCUGCCUUGGAUUCUAAAGAAUUUUUCAGGAUCUCAGAAUGUGAAUCUGCUAAAGAAAUGUGGGAUACACUUAAAGCAACUCAUGAGAGUACCAUUGAAAUAAAGAAAGCAAAGACAAGAAGUCAAGGAAGAAGAAAAAGGAGGCAAAAUAAAAAAUGUCUCAAUUUGUGUUUCAUGGUAAAAAAGGAAGAUGAUGCAAGCAGUGGAAAAUUGAUGGAAAGCAUGCAGCAGUGGUAUCUGGACAAUGGCUGCUCAAAACACAUGACAUGAGAUAAAUCUAAGUUUAUGAGCAUCAUCUUCAAACAAGAAGGCCAUGUAACAUAUGGAGACAACAACAAAAGAAGAAUUCUUGGAAGAGGCUCUAUAGGAGACAAGAGUAUCUUGCUUAUUCAUGAUGUCUUGUAUGUAGAAGGACUAAAACACAACUUACUUAGCAUUAGCCAACUAUGUGACAAAGGCUAUCAAGUAAUCUUCAAGACAAACUCUUGUGAAAUCUGCCUUCCAAACUCAAAAGAGGUAAUGUUGAUUGGUAAGAGAAUCAACAAUGUCUAUCUCUUGGAUAUUUCUUCUCCUUGUUCUAUUGGUUGUCUUCUUUCUAAGUAUGAUGAAUCUUGGUUAUGGCAUAGAAGAACAUUCAUAUGAAUCAGUUAAACAAAUUAAUAUCAAAAGAUCUUGUGAUUGGGUUGCCCAAGCUUAAGUUUGAGAAGGACCACAUAUGUGAAGCAUGUCAAAAGGGAAAACAAGUUAAAAAUUUCUUCAAAAUAAAAAAUGUUGUUUCAUCUUUAAAACCCCUUGAGCUACUCCACAUGGAUUUAUUUGGACCUUCAAGAACCAUGAGUCUUGGUGGCAACUAUUAUGCUCUUGUUAUUGUGGAUGAUUUCUCUAGGUACACAUGGACACUCUUAUUGGAAUUAAAGAGUGAUGCCUUCUCUGCCUUCAAAAAGCUUGCUUGAAGGUUACAAAACACAAAAAACAGCAACAUUGGUUCUAUAAGGAGUGAUCAUGGAGGGGAAUUUCAAAAUGAGAAAUUCAGCAAAUUCUGUGAGAAGAUGGGGAUCUUGCACAACUUCUCUACACCAAGAACUCCUCAAUAGAAUGGUGUAGUUGAAAGAAAGAAAAUAUCUCUUGAAGAGUUAGCAAGAACCAUGCUAAGUGAAUCCUCCCUACCCAAGUACUUUUUGGUUGAUGCUGUUAGCACCUCUUGCUAUGUGAUGAAUAGAGUGCUAAUAAGGUCAAUCUUGAAGAAAACUCCCUAUGAACUCUUCAAUUGAAGGAAGCCAAACAUUUGUCACCUAAUAGUGUUUGGAUGCAGUUGUUUUGUUAUGAACAAUGCGAAAGAAAAUAUGAGAAAGUUUGAUGAAAAAGCUGAUCAUGGCAUCUUUAUUGGUUAUUCAUUAAAUAGUCGUGCCUAUAGGGUCUACAACAAGAGGCUCAUGAUUGUAGAAGAAUCUGUUCCUGUGGUGUUUGAUGAAGUUGAUCACAAAAACAUUCAAGCCUCAAAGAACAACACAAAAGAGGAUGAGGAGAACAUCAAUUUGCAGAAAUUGGACUGCUGUGCAUUAAAACAACUGGUUGAUUCAUCGAAACAACCAAUUGAAAUUCUACAGCAGAGUGAGUUGCCUAAAGAGUGGAGAAUACCAAGAGAUUUGUUAGUGGAGAACAUCAUUGGGCAGAUAAAGGAGAGUGUUUCUACACGUAGCUCUAUCUCAAACUUUUGUAGGCACACUACUUUUGUCUCUCAAGUUGAACCAAAGUCUAUUGAAGAGCCCUUAAAGAUGAAAAAUGGGUGGAAGCUAUGCAUCAAGAGCUGAAUCAGUUUGCUAGGAAUGAUGUGUGGUUUCUGGUUCCCAAGACAGAUGAGAUGAACAUCAUUGGAUCUAAAUGGGUUUUCAGAAACAAGCUAGAUGAAGCUGGAGUAAUUACUAGAAACAAGGCAAGGCUAGUUGCCAAAGGCUAUAAUCAAGAGGAAGGAAUUGACUAUGGUGAAACAUUUGCCCCUGUUGCAAGAUUGGAAGUUGUGAGGUUGCUGCUGGCUUUUGCUUGUAUGAGUGGAUUCAAACUCUUUCAAAUGGAUGUGAAGAGUGCUUUUCAUAAUGGCUUUAUCAAUGAAGAAGUGUAUGUUGAGCAACCACCGGGUUUUGAGGAUCAUAACAUCCCAAUCAUGUUUUUAAGUUGAAAAAGGAUUUGUAUGGGCUUAAGCAAGCUCCAAGGCAGUGGUAUGAGAGGCUUAGCAACUUCCUUUUAUCUCAUGGUUAUGAAAGAGGAAUGAUUGACAAAACUCUUUUCAUCAAGAAGUCAAAUUCUGAAAUUAUCUUGGUGCAAAUCUAUGUUGAUGACAUCAUUUUUUGUGGUACCAAAGAUAAUUUGUGUGAAGAAUUUGUGGCUGCUAUGCAAGGUGAGUUUGAGAUGUCUAUGAUGGGGGAGCUUUCCAGAAUUGCAGGUCAAGCAAACAAAGGAUGGAAUUUUUCUAUGCCAAUCAAAAUAUUGCAAAGAAAUUCUCAAGAAAUUUGAAAUGGAAAGUUGCAAGGAAGCUAGCACACUUAUGCUUUCAAGUUGUUAUAUGGAUGCAGAUGCUGCUGGAAAAGAGGUAGAUCAAACAAAAUACAGAGGUUUAAUUGGUUCCUUACUCUAUCUCACAUCAAGUAGACCAGAUAUCAUGUUUGUCGUAUGUCUUUGUGCAAGAUAUCAAGUAAAUCCAAAGGAAUCUCACUUCAAAACUGCAAAGAGAAUUCUUAAAUAUCUCAAAGGAACAACCAAUGUUGGUCUAUGGUAUCCUUCUCACUCUCCUAUACACUUAAUUGGUUAUUCAGAUUCUGAUUUUCCAGGGUGUAAGCUGGACAGAAAAAAGCACAAGUGGCAUUUGUCAUCUUCUUGGAUCAAGUCUCAUUUCUUGGCAUAGUAAGAAGCAAGCUUGUGUAGCUCUUUCUACUGCAGAGGCUGGAUACAUUCCUGCUGGGAGCUAUUGUGCACAAAUACUUUGGCUUAAACAACAACUUGCAGAUUUUGAAUUGAAGAUCAACAAGGUUCCUUUGCUUUGUGACAACACAAGUGCUAUAAAUCUCACCAAAAAUCAGAUUCAGCACUCAAGAACUAAGCACAUUGAGAUUCGUCAUCAUUUCAUAAGGGAUCAUGUGAACAAUUGUGAAGUAAAAUUCAUUGAAACAAAAUUGCAACUAGCUGAUAUAUUAACAAAACCUCUACAAAAAGAAAGGUUUUUCUUCUUAAGAAAUGAGUUAGGCAUUCUUGACUCUCAAAAUCUCUCUUAAACUAUUUUUUAUACUUAAAGUCUAUUUCUGAAGACAAAUAGGGGAGAAUUAGUUGGUUUUUGUGUUGCCUGCUCUCUAUAAAAUGUUUCAAACUGUUAAAUCUCUCUAAUUUCUGAAAUUGGAACUGUUUUCCUGCUUUUGCUGACAGAAACAACCGAUUGAAUCGAGGAAACAACCGGUUGUUUGUCUGAUACAAUGUUUAGUAAAUGUGAUAUUCUAACCUACUGCUAUAGAUGUUUUGUAUUGCAUAAGUUUUGUUUUGCAGGAACUGCUUCAGAUUCAAACAAAGUCCAACACAAGCAACCAGGGAUUUGUCUUCAUCAAAUAGGGGAAGAUUAUUGAUCAAGAGUGAUCAAGGGCUUUGAAGAAUCCAAAUCCAAUGUGUUUGAUGCAAGGCUGGAGUUGCUGCUGUGUUUAGGGUAGUAUCUGGGUAGUUUAAAAGUGUAAUCCACUCUUUGCUGAAUCUAAAGCUAAUGUGUUUUUAAAACCUUUUUGAAAUUAAGUGUUUUUCAAACUAAGUGAAGAACAACUUGUUGUUUUGUCGAAACAACCGAUUGUUUUACUCUUAGGUGUUUUUGAAAAGGUUGAAAACUGUUUUGGUUGGUUGACUUGCUGUCAAACCAAAACAAUCGAUUGUUUCGUGGUUUCAAUCGAUUGUUUCUUUGAAAAUCCUAACAGAAUUCUGUUUUGGUGGUUGAAUGUGCUUUAAAUGUUUUCCAACUGAAUACGCUCCUCUAUUAAAUGCUUUGACCAAUCUUUGAAAAGUAUAAAUGGUUUGUUUAUGUUUUAAAACAAACAAGAGAAAUAGAUUUGAGUUUUCAGUUUUGAAAAAGAUUGCUUUCAAGUUUUUGAACAUUCACAUCAAGCUUUGGAUUUUCUCAAGAAAGAGUUGAAUAGGAUUGCAUCUAUAUUGAUUUCAGAUUGUUCUGUAAACAAGUGUAAUUCAUUUUGAAUCUUCUGUAAUUUCUGGUGUUGUUGCCAAGAAGUGUUGUGUGCUCUUGAGGUGGUCAAGAUCAACAUUCUUGGUGUGUGUUGUGCCAAAGUGAGUGUGUUUCUUGAAGGGUUCAAGGUUACUACUUUGGUGGUUUGUGUGUAAUUUGUUUUGAUUGCUUAGUGGAUUGCCCAGUGGCUUCUAGGGACUGGAUGUAGCUCUUUGUUUAAGAGUGAAUCAGUAUAAACUGUUUGUGUAUCUCUUUCUUCCCUUGAACUCCUUUAAAUUCAGUUGUUAUUGUUUUACUGGUAUAAACAACCGAUUGUUUUUCUGGUGUUUUGUUGUUUUGUGGUUAAAUUCUUGGCUAAUUGAAAUUCUGAUCUGGAUUCACACAAAGGAUUUUGUUCAAGCUGAAAAAGUUUUCAAAAACCUCUCUUAAACAAUUCACCCGCCCCCCUCUCCUCUCUCAUUUAAGGCCAUAUAUUCUAACAAAGGCGCCCUUCGUCUUUGCAGGUGAGAGAUUCUUCAACUAAGAAAGUUCGAUUCUGAGGCAGAGACGGGGGCAGAGAUUGUCGUUCGAGUCAACCGAUGAGCAUAAGUAUAUAGAUUAUAUGUUUCACAUAGUGAUUUGAGAUUGGUUCAUAUGAGAUGGUUUUGUGUCCUCAGAGGGUGAGAAAGUUGGUUUCAAGUAACUCAUGAUAGGUAAUUUACACGGUGUUUGGUUAAGCAUAUUUACUUUAAUCGAUGACAAUAUAAAACGAUAAAAAUACGUUUGAAUAUAUUAAUUUUAUAAGAAAUAAGAGCGAGUGAAUGGGUGAACGUGAAGUAGUAUUGUUGACAACAUCAAUGCAAACAAAAACUAGAAAGCCACAUUUACAUUUAACAAAAUAUAACUACAAUUACAACAAACUUUAAUAAAAAAAUCGUCAAAUCAGAAUCUAGAUAUAAAAAAUAUAAUAAAAAUUAUGAAAAAAAAUAUUAAAAAUAUUAAUUACUGUUGGAGAUCCCACAUCGACUAGAGAUGAGAGUCUUUCAUAGUAUAUAAGUGGGUGCAAACCUCACCUUAUUGAGCCGGUUUUAUGGGGUUGAGUUAGGCUUAAAGUCCACUCUUCUGUAAUAAUUACCAAAAAAAAAUUAAUUAUUAAAAAAAUUAACAUAAUCAAUUAUGCGUUAUAAUAUGUAAUUAACUAUAUAAUUAAAUAUAUAAUAAUAUAAUAUAAAUAAUAUAAAUAUAUUUAUAUAAUAAUGUAUAUACACAAUAAGAAAAUUAUUAGUAUUAUUAAUAUAAAUAUUAAUUAUAAAAUAAUAAUAAAAUUUAAAUAAACUUUUAAAUUAAUAAUAAUAAUAAAUAUAAAUUAAAUAAUUAAUAAUGAUUAAAUAAUUGAUCUUGACUUACUUUUAUGAGGUAAUCCAUUAUUAUGUAUUAUUUUUCAAAUGUUGUUUUUAAAAUUUUUAAUAUUACAAUUCAAUUUAUAAUGAAAAAAAUUAUUUUAAUGAAAACUUUCUAUCGACAAUUAUAAGUAACUCUUAGUUUUAAAAAAAAAAAUAUAAUUUAGAAAGUUUUAAUUAAGUUAAAUCUACACAAAAAUAUCAUAUUUCAUUAUACAAAUGUUUUUAAAGAAAAUGACAAAUUUAUAAAUUUAUAUUUAAAUAUUUUAAAUAAAUUAAAAAAAUCAUAAUCAUCACAUCACUCACAAGACUUCAAUAAAUAUCUACAAAUACACUUUAGUACCUUAAUUCAAACAACUCCACUUUCUUCACAUUUUCUUUCAAAUCAUUCUAAAUUCAUGUUGGAGAUCCCACAUCGACUAGAGAUAAGGACAUUUCAUAAUAUAUAAAUGGGUGCAGACCUCAACCUCAUGAGCCGGUUUUAUGGGGUUGAGUUAGGCUUAAAGUCCACUUUGUAACAUGGUAUCAGAGCCAUUUCGAGCCUAUCCUAGCGAGUAUUUGUUGGGCCUAUCGUGCCACCCGCUAUCGAGCCGCUAUCGGACCACCCAAAAUAUAUAGUCCCACGCACGAGCUUCNNNNNNNNNNNNNNNNNNNNNNNNNNNNNNNNNNNNNNNNNNNNNNNNNNNNNNNNNNNNNNNNNNNNNNNNNNNNNNNNNNNNNNNNNNNNNNNNNNNNNNNNNNNNNNNNNNNNNNNNNNNNNNNNNNNNNNNNNNNNNNNNNNNNNNNNNNNNNNNNNNNNNNNNNNNNNNNNNNNNNNNNNNNNNNNNNNNNNNNNNNNNNNNNNNNNNNNNNNNNNNNNNNNNNNNNNNNNNNNNNNNNNNNNNNNNNNNNNNNNNNNNNNNNNNNNNNNNNNNNNNNNNNNNNNNNNNNNNNNNNNNNNNNNNNNNNNNNNNNNNNNNNNNNNNNNNNNNNNNNNNNNNNNNNNNNNNNNNNNNNNNNNNNNNNNNNNNNNNNNNNNNNNNNNNNNNNNNNNNNNNNNNNNNNNNNNNNNNNNNNNNNNNNNNNNNNNNNNNNNNNNNNNNNNNNNNNNNNNNNNNNNNNNNNNNNNNNNNNNNNNNNNNNNNNNNNNNNNNNNNNNNNNNNNNNNNNNNNNNNNNNNNNNNNNNNNNNNNNNNNNNNNNNNNNNNNNNNNNNNNNNNNNNNNNNNNNNNNNNNNNNNNNNNNNNNNNNNNNNNNNNNNNNNNNNNNNNNNNNNNNNNNNNNNNNNNNNNNNNNNNNNNNNNNNNNNNNNNNNNNNNNNNNNNNNNNNNNNNNNNNNNNNNNNNNNNNNNNNNNNNNNNNNNNNNNNNNNNNNNNNNNNNNNNNNNNNNNNNNNNNNNNNNNNNNNNNNNNNNNNNNNNNNNNNNNNNNNNNNNNNNNNNNNNNNNNNNNNNNNNNNNNNNNNNNNNNNNNNNNNNNNNNNNNNNNNNNNNNNNNNNNNNNNNNNNNNNNNNNNNNNNNNNNNNNNNNNNNNNNNNNNNNNNNNNNNNNNNNNNNNNNNNNNNNNNNNNNNNNNNNNNNNNNNNNNNNNNNNNNNNNNNNNNNNNNNNNNNNNNNNNNNNNNNNNNNNNNNNNNNNNNNNNNNNNNNNNNAACUCAUGAUAGGUACUUUAGGUUUUGUUAGUUUGUCACAAGAAAACGCACAAUUAAAGUGAACCAAAAGUCUAAAAAAAAGUCGAUGCUAACUAAGAAUACUUCCCAUUCCAAAAAAUAUACACAAAAAAGCAUAAACACUAAUAAUUUAGCAUCAACAUUUUGUAGGACACGUAAAACGAAACUGAAAGGUACAAAAAACGAUUAAUGAAUUAAGCCUCAGUGAAGAAAUAAAAUAUGAAGACGAGUGAGCUAAUUUACUCUUAGAAUCUUAACAAAAGCAACUAAUGAAGAGUUAAUAAGCUCCGAUGAAGAAAAGGUAAACCACGAUGGAAGAGAAAACUGUGACUGUAUAUAUAGAAUAAAUAUCAUAAAAGCCAAAACCAAGUUAGCAUUAGAAAUGGUAGAAAAAAUGAAACCAAGAAGAAAAGUAGUUUAAUAGUAGUAGUAAAAUUGUAGGAUAAGAUUUUGCGAAAUCCUUAAACAAGCAUAAUUAUAAGACAGAAAAACAACUAUCAUGGAUGUAUUUAAAGAAAAUUACACAGUUAAAACAGUAGAAAAAUAAAUUCAUAUCAAAUUAAGCCAAUAAUAUAUUCUGUUAAUUUCAAAAUAAUGAAUUACUGAACACAUAAAAGAAUAUAAAUAACUUCAUAGGAUCAAUUCAAAAAUAAAUAUAAAACAUAUUCAAAAUGUAUUGGUCGGUACCAGACGAGUUAGUCUCGGCCUCGAUAACCGAUCGUUCGAGUCAAAGAAUAUAUCAAGGCAUCCAAUAGAUGAUAGUAAUGACAUUUACAAUGGAACUUAAUGAUUCAUAAUUCGUAUCCCAAAAUAUGCGGAAAAUAUCUCUGAUAGAUCAUCUAAAUAUUGAUUAACUAAAAGAUGUUACAUAUAUUCCUAUAUACCAAUGUACCUCCCAAUUAAUUAGGGACACGAUGCAUAUCAUUCAAUAACUAAUAUCCGACUCAUCAUGGCAAGAGUCCAUAAUCAAUACUAUAAAUAAAACUCUUUGCAAAGGUAUGAGGUACGUUUUUACCAAUUACAAAAAUACACUUUUUACACCGAGUACUAACUUGAUCAUCAAAGUACCUUUUUCAGGUCACCCCCGACCGAACAUCAGCAUUAAAGGAAGGAGACUCGAAGGAAGGAAUUAGAGGAUCACCGACACUUCAGCAAUUGUACAUCCAAUCUCAGGUACUAUCUAGGUCCUCUUUUCCUAUACAGGUACAAUUGGCGCCCACCGUGGGGUCGAGGUAGUAGUCAAUUUCAGCAACAAGAAUAGACCAACAACAAUGUUGUCAACAAGGAACAACACUAACAACGAUCAAAUGGCGGAUGAACAGAUUGCACUAAUCCAAGCCCUUUAGGCACAAAUGGAGGAGAUACGACAAAAAGGCAUUGAAGAUCAGUUGUGAAAUGAAGAGGAAUGACAUCAGAAUGAGGAGAAAGUACUCCUUUUUAGGAGCAGAAUAAAGAGUUAAAGCAACAACUUGAUGGGUGUGAACGAGAAAAACAGUCUCGAACACAAACUCAUCAAAGUUUCAAACACACCCCUCUGCCUAACGACGAUGAAGACCCGAGAGGACAUCCUUUUACGGAUGAGAUAAUUGAAGCACAACUCCCCUCCAAGUGGAAGGGACUGACCAUUAAACUCUAUGAUGGCUCAACCGACCCGGACGAGCACCUCAAUGUCUUCAAGACACAGAUGACCAUUUACACAACCAACAAAGUAGUAUGGUGUAAGGUUUUUCCCACCUCUCUCCAAGAAGGGACACUCAUCUGGUUCACCUAGCUCCCUCCUAAUUUUGUGGGUAGCUUUAAAGUUUUGACGGCUAAGUUCACCACUCAGUAUUCAACAAGCCGACCGCAUCACACUUCAUCCAUGUCCCUCCUUAACAUAAAGCAAGAAAAGAAGGAGUCUUUGUGGGCAUUCAUGGAUAGAUUCAGUAAGGUCUGCAUGAGCAUUAGAAACCUCAUGCCAGAAAUAGCCAUGCAUCACCUGAUCUCGGCAAUUUGACAUGGUCAGUUCAUCAAAAGUUUGAUUAAGAGACCGGCCAAAAAUCUUGAUGAGUUGAGAAAUCGUGCAACCAAGUUCAUGCAGAUAGAGGAACACACAAACUAUCAUAGAAGCAUUCAGUCCAUGAAUGGAGAUAAAGAGAAGAAGGGGAAGACAAAAAGAGUCGACCUAUAUCAAGUCAAUCCGACUGCGUCAGAGAAAAUUGGGGACCCUGGUUUCUUAGUUACACCCCAUUGAAUGCUCCAAGGGGUAAGGUUCUGGAAAAGGCACUAUAAGCCGAAUUAUUCUUGGCUCUAAGGCAGUCACAGAGUUUGAGGAAUGCUGACAUGCCUAAACACUGUCAGUACCACCGCAAUUAUGACCAUACGACCUAGGGUUGUCGGGAACUGAAGGACAUGAUAAAAGAACUCAUUCAAGCAGGUGAUGUGAGUUGAUUUUUAGAUGUUUUCAUUUAGGUGAAACUUUACUUUAAGAUUGAGAUUUUAGAAAUUAGAUGUAAAGACCUAAGGAAAAUUCUCACUGGACACUAACUUAACCAAGUGGUUAAGUAGGUGUGAAGGUGCAUUUCCCAAAGGCAAAGAUAAAAAGACAAUGUAUGGUGAGAAUGUAUGCAAAUUGCGAAAAUAAAGAAGAAAGUUAGGAAAAAUCAAUGGAAAGGAAACAUGAAGGAAAUGGAAGAAAAAACUUAUGGAGAUAGUGGUGGGUGGUCACGCCACUUGGUGGGUGAAAACCAUCAAGAUAAGAGUUAGGCCGCCACUUGAGAGUUUCAUUCUCUUCAAGAUAAAACCAAAAGGAAAAGGAGACAAUACUCACUCAAGCUCUCACAAUAUUUGUGCAGAGUAACUUUUCUAUUCAAUUUCAACAUGUAAAAUACAAUGGGUAGGCCUCCUAUUUAUAGGUGAAAGAGCCUUGGAAAACAAGCAAGAGGGGUAGGAUGGGAAAAGGGAAAAAAUGGGCAGCCUUAGGGUUUGACUAAGUCAAACCCGCAUCCUAGGCUUGUCCUUCUAGAGACUGGGUCAAAUUGCCUUUCGUAAAGGGCUAGGAACAAGCUAAAAUGAUACCUCAUCCCUUUUAUGCUAAAGGCACAUUAUUCUAGUCUAUCUUUGCUAUUUUGACCCCUAAAGUGAGCCCAAAAUUAUUUACAACAUAUUCUAUCUCUUAAGAAGACCAAAAGGAAAAAUAGUUGGUGCUUUGGUUUAUGCCCAUCUCCUCUGGUCGGGUCCAUAAGAUCCUUGGUGGGGUCUUGAAUUGUUUGCUGAGAUGACUGCUCGCCACAUGCUUUGUCUUUUUCUUCUUUGGUCAUCUUCAUAGCUACUUGGUUUGUAUCAGCAGGCCACUUGCACAAAUUUCUCAAGACCGACACUAACUCAUUCCGAUCUCCACAAAGGGAAAGGUACCCACCCAGGAAUCGUAAGGAACAAUACGAUUAGCGAGGCCGAGAAAGCUAACGUCGUUUGGAGGAUAACCGACGUCUAACCAAGAGAAGAAGGAGUGAGAGCCCAGUAUGAAGGACUCGACCACGAAGCAGGAGUCCUAGGAGAAACGAUCGGACGAGACGCGACCCCUGGGAGGUUAUCAAUACUAUAGUUGGUCUGAUCCCAUUCGGAAGCCCCGACCGAGACCUCAAAAACACAGCAAAACAAGUGACUACAAUCGCUGGAGGCGGUUGCUCUAAUUAUGGUAGAAAGAAGCACCUUCGGGUUGUCUAGUCGGUCCAUUUUGUAACCACCAGAACCCGACCGAGGAUGCCUCUGAUCACGUUCACUAACGACAAUUUUACCGCAAUCGACCCAACUUAGGACGACCCCAUGGUAAUCACUGUGGAGAUAGAUAAGUUCGCCAUUCCAAAGGUUUUGGUGGACCAGGGCAGCUCGGUUGAUAUUUUGUAUUGGAAGACCUUCAAGAAAAUGAGGAUUCUGGAGUCAAAAAUUCAGCCUUAUGAUGAACAGAUUGUCGGAUUUUCAAGAGAGUGGGUAAACACAAGGGGAUUCAUCGAUCUAUAUACUAUGUUUGGGGAGGAAGGAUACCUUAGUAAAACGACAAGGAUCAGGUAUUUACUGGUAAAAGCAAAUAGCUUCUACUCCCCACCUAGCGAUGAAGUUUCCAUCAGUAGCCGAUGAUAUUGUAAUAGUCUAUGUCGAUCAAAAGACAACCCGCGAAUGUUACGUCACCAAUUUUAAAGUCAAAUACAAGCCCAAAACCCUAUGCUACUAGGCCCAAAUAUUUGGUCCAAUUAUUUUAUGCUACUAGGCCCAAUACAUGGCCCAUGAAAUCCUAAAAAACUUUAUACAAUUUAUUUAAGCUUAAGCUUGGCCUAAAAAUAAUGUUGACUAGUCAACAAAAACUCAAUUUUCCUGUGUUCUUAUGGUCAAAGCUGUAGUUUAUGUUUUGAUGACUUGGAGGUCUUCUUGGAUAUGUUUGUACCUUCCUUCACCCUAGAGUUUUCCUCUUGAUUGGGCCUACAAAAAAAAAUGCCCAAUUAGACCCAUAUGUGCAAAUAAAUCCAUAAACAACCUCUAGGUCUUCUUCCUCAUUAUUAUGUGCUUGGGUGUAGCUGGGGGCUCUGCCAUCACUGCUCGAUUUCUUCUUAUCGACCAGGAUCUCUACUGCCAAGGAUACACUCGACCACUCUUAAAAUGUAUCACCUCUGACCAAGCCGACUAUGUCAUGCAGGAAAUACACUAGGGAGUAUGUGAUACGCAAUCAGGAGCAAGAACAAUGACUGCUAAAGUAUUACGGGCAAGUUAUUAUUGGUCGACCGUCCAUGGUGACUAUACAGAUUUUGUGCGAAAAUGCAUUAAGUGUCAAGAAUAUGAUAGCUCUACUCUUCAAAGGCCUGAGAAUCUUCACUAUAUUCUCUCUCCAUGGCCAUUUGUGAAAUGGGGAAUGGACAUCAUCAGACUUCAUCUAUUGAUGGGAAUAGACUAUUUUAUCAAGUGGAUAAAGGUCGAACCCCUGGCGGCCAUCACAACACAGAAUGUCCAAAACUUUGUUUGGAAAAGCAUUGUAUGUUGUUUUGGAAUACCACAUGCCAUCAUCACUAACAAUGGUAGAGAAUUUACCAACCAGGACUGGUUGAGUUUUACGAAAAGCUUGAUAUCAAACAUAUCACAAGUUCAGUGGAGCACCUGCAAACCCACUUGGUCAAGUCUUGUGGGCUUACCGGUGUUCACCACAAUCAACUACGCAGGAAACCCCAUACAGCCUGACUUAUGAGACGGAAGCCAUAAUCCCAGUUAAAGUCAGAGAGCCCUUUGCACGACGACAAAUUCUGGAUCUGAAUGUUAACAAGGAAAGUUUGUUGGUCGGACUUGACCUGAUCAAUGAAUUUAGGGACAAAAUUAGAAUAAGAGAAAAAACAUGCAAGGUUCGGGCGGCAAGAAGGUAUAAUUCGAAGGUGAAACCAAGGAGCUUCCAAAAGGGAGAUUUGGUAUAGGUGAUGCGUAGUGAUGCUCAAAAUAAUGAAAACAAAUUCUAAAGUAAUUGGGAAGGACCUUUACGUAUUUCAGACACAGCGUUCGGUGAAGUAUAUUAUCUAGAAUUCCUCUGCACUUAUGAAGAAUGUUUUCUUGACCAAUACGAUUUCACAAACUAUCGCCGAACGCGAUCAGAAUACACUAAGAACUGCACCUGAACUUGUCGACCAAGAUAAUUUAUCUUUAACGCGAUUAGAACGAAUAUCUAUCACGAUCACAAUAAAAUCGAAGUCCUCACUUCGGAUUUGGCCAGGUUAUUAAAUAAAUUCUCAUCGUUAGAAGUUAUAUGGCAUCGAUCAAUUUUCAAACCUAGUUGGUCAAGUCUAGCAUUCAUCAUGCAAUUGGAUUGGCAUUAACCUUAACGAUAAGCUAAAACUAUUUGGAUUAUAAUAAUUCAAGUUAUUUUACUCUUGAGUCUUGGCUUAACGAGAGGUGUUUACAACAAUAAGUUGUUUCAGAAAAAAUAAAGGCUCGGUUAGCCACUACUAAUGAUUUUAAAGCAUUGAUAGCUUUUGUUAUAUGAUCCUGCCGACAACUCGAACGUGGAGGAAUCGCUUUGUAGCACUCUCUGUCCCGUCUACGCGACUGUGUUUUCUGCAAAGUCACCCUCAGAACCUUCUCUUGGAUCUCCAAACGCGACCUGCAAAACACACAGACGGCGCCUCUAGCGGCCGUUUGCACUCCGACGAUCAAGUUAGACCACAGAACCACCAAAUGAGAAAACUAGUAGUGUGUGUGAAAAACUCUUGCUCUCUCUCCUUCUUCUUUUUUCCCCCUUCAAUCUCUCCCUGAUUCUAUUUUAUGUCUCUCUCUGUUUCUGGGCCUAACAAAAUUCUGUUAUGCUUUUCUGGCAUGUGUCAGAACCCUGUUAUGCUUUUCUGAGACAAUGUACCUCCAGAAUCAGUAGAGUGUGGGUGUCUGUGCGUGUCCGCGCGUCUCUGCGCUUGGCUGCGCUUGUCUGUACCUUUAGCGGUACGGAGUGCACCUUUGUCUGGACCGCGCCCUUCUCAGAUGAUGACACGUGGAGGCAUGCGACUCACAUCUGACCCUACACGUGUCACUACUUGAAGGGCUCUAGCGCUUCUCUUUGUGUACUAAGUUACUCCCUUGCGGAGUAACUUAGCAUAUUUCUUCCAUCUGGGCAAAUCGCAUGCUCUCAGGAGAACGCCAGGUGUGGCUGGUCUAGGCACACUCACCAAGCGUUGCUCUCUGCGUAGACGACUUACCCUUCACGCACGUAAUGGGUUGAGGGAGUCACCAAUCACUGAUCGGUUUACUAGCUCCCUCAGGCCACUCUCGUGCGUGAUUCCCUGAGAUGUGCUCAUGCGAGGUCCAUGUGUAACGCUCUCGCUGGGAACCUCAGUCCCAGCUUAACUGCGUGUAACACAAGACCCCGAUGACUGAUCAGUGCUCUAUUGCUUCUCGCGUUCUGCCCCCAGGCGUUCGUAUGGGAACUGGUCUGUUGGUGGCCACUUGGUUACUGACCACCGAUCACCGUUCUGGGUGAUCUGUCCCCUGACCUCUCUGCCGCCUGAUCUGUCUGUGGUCACUUGGUUACGGACCCCCCGAUCACCGCUCUGGGCGAUCGUCUCCCUGAUCUCUCUGUCACCUGGUCCACGUGUCACCCUGCGAGUGGUCCACGUGGUCCUCUGCUGCUGACGUCAUCGACUACCGAUGACCGAUCGGAUCAUUAUAAGUUUUUGAAGAUAGAUUAUAAAACAGCUCGAUCAGACAUCAUUACGAAGAUAUGCGCAAUUGAGAUUUAAAGAUUUUAUCGGCAAACGAAAAAAUAAUAUAGUGUUUAAAGUAAAAGUGCAGAAAGUAAAUUUUUCAGCACCCACAUCCCGAGCUCAGGAUAUUCCAAAUAUAUUUAUAAAGGUCUUGUAACUUCUGCCACGGAGACUUCGCCUUCCAUAUGAUCAUCACCUAGGUUAUUACCUUGGCCUUCAGCAUUCUCUGCUUCAUCUUCUUCACCCUCGUCGACUAACAGUAAUUAGCCAUCUACGACAUCCUUGUUCAUGACAUAUCGAUCGUCUUCCAGAGGAGUUCCAUGAAAAAAGGCCGCGUGAGGAAGGCCUUGAUAGAAGUAGUUCUUGCUUAUACGCAAGAUAAAAGAUUGACAUUUUUCCAACUCGUUGGAUAAUGCCUUCUCCUUCUCCGCGACAUCGUUUUGGUGUUGAGCAAGCAUAGUCUUCCCCAUCUCAGCCUCGGCCUUCCACAUAGCUGCCUCCCUUUUCGCCUCGUCGGCCUCCUUGGUGACUUGGCACAUUUUUUCAUCCAACUCCCCCAUGACAUCAAGGGUAGUCUUGAGGGAAUUAGACAAUUCGUUAGGGUCCGCCUUUAGUUUCGCCACCAAAGUGGCCGAGUUCCUAUCUAAUUCUUCCCCAAGUGUCUGGUCAAUAACCAUGCCACGACUAUGAAGCUCAGUCGGCUUUGUCACUAAGUCCUGCAUUGGGACAGUCGCCAAGAUGCUUUCUUCUUCUAGAGUCAAAGCAAUUUGAACACCUUGGACCAGCUACAGAUAUAGACCAACAUACUUGGGUGACGAGAAGGUGACCCUGCCUCUGACCUUUGUUGUGUAGGUUCAUCGGCGGCACGGUUGUUUUCGGCGGCACAACGUCAACCCAUCAAAGCUACUUAAUUUUUUGGUGGUCGCUUGCCUCCUCAACUGUUUCAAGUAGUGUGCCGACUAUGGGUCCACACGAGAAAUGAUGGCUACAAAACUCAAACAAAUUAAACACCUCGUCAACAUAAUGAGUACAACCAGGUACAUAAAAAGUCUACAUACCAGUAAAAUUCGUCCACCUCUUGGACGAUGCAUACAACACUACCAACUCCCGAGUAGGUAACUUAUUUUGGAGCUGGUCAGGAACAUAAAAAUUUCUUUCGCGUCAUAAAAAUAGGGUCUGCCGUCUAUCUCUACAAAAAAUUUGAAAUACUUUUCUUUGAAAUUUUUAUAUGACGAGGUGUAGGGCGCAAAUUGAAUACUCCCUGGUCAACUUGACAAAGACAGCCAACUCACUAGAGUAAUCAAACGAGAGUUAUAAUAGAAUAAAAAAAAAUUGAGGAGUGGGCAGUAGCUUGAAAAUAUCACAAAAUCCUAAAAGCUUGAAGGGUUGCCCACGAGUUGAUAUGCAACUGGGUCGGUUCCUUAUUUAGGAUCCGAAGGACUCCCAUGGUAAAUUCAUCGAGGGGAAGUGUAACAUGUAAGUCGGUAAAAAAUGUGUUACAGACAAAAGAGAAGUCUUGGGGUGCGCUAUCCAAACCGUGGCACACUCGGUCGGUGUAGCCGCAAAUAUCGACAACCACCGCGUCUAAGGGCGAAUCAGGUUUCAAGAAGGAUACUUUGGAUAAAAACUUAUCCAAAUCAUUCGGACCUCUAAAGUAAGUAGGGAUAUCCAAGACGCGUGGAUCAACCCACUUGUAGCUCGGACCGUCUGACAUAGGACCGAUCCUGUCGUCCGAGUUACUCACGUCUCUUGCACCACCAAAUAUUGUGCGAGUCAGCGCAGAAGGCUGAAUAUUUAAUAUACUAUCGAAAAAAUUGGUAGAGGAAGCCAUUACUAACCUUGGUGCAAGGAAAGCAAAAGAAAGAUGGUAGACUCAUCACUUGGAGCAAGCUAAGCGGUGAUGAAGACAUAAACCUUGCCUCGUUCAAAUGAGGCUCUAUUUAUAGAAAACCAAAGAGGAAAGAGAUUAUCAUGUGAAUCGCUCGACAUCGUUGGAUCAGCACUCAUCCAAUGGCUCGUAUCACUCGACAUGUGAAACGACACAAAAUUUCAACCAUUAGAUCUCUCCAAUUGAACAGUACCCACCAAAUGACAACUUUUUUUAAAAAAGCAAACGUCACAUCUCUGCUAAGCAUUUAAUGCAUUCAACAGUAACAUCUCGCCUCGGGAACUCCAAUGGUCAUUUCCUGACUCUUCAGAAAUGAAUUUCUUUGAACCUGGGGGCUAGUGUACCGAUACCGAAUGAGCCAGUCUUAGCCUCGGUGACUGACCGCCCGAGUCAAAGAAUACAUCAAGGCACGCAAUACAUGAUAUUAACGACAGUUACAGCGAAACUUAAUGAUUCAUAAUUCGUAUCCCAAAAUAUGCAGAAAAUAUCUCUCACAAAUCAGCUAAAUAUUGAUUAACUAAAAGAUGUUACAGAUAUUCCUAUAUACCAUUGUAUCUCCCUAUUAAUUAGGGACAUGAUGCAUAUCAGUCAAUAACUGAUAUCCGACCAUCAUGACAAGGACCCAUAACCAAUACUAUAAAUAAAAUCAUUUGUGGAGGUAUGAGGUACGUUUUUACCAAUUACAAAAUACACUUUUUACACAAAGUACUAACUUGAUCUUCGUAGUACCUUUUUCAGGUCACCCCUGACCGAGCAUCAACAUUAAAGGAAGGAGACUCAAAGGAAAGAAUAAGAGGAUCAUCGACAUGUCAGCAUUUGUAUAACCAAUCUCAUCUCUUUGCCUAUACAGGUACAUAAAAUAUUUAUAACCUAUAAUAAGAAAGAAAAGAAUACUAAGAAAGUUUCUCAAAAAUCUUUAAAAAAUAUUUACUAAAACUCUUAAAUUUUCAAAACAAAAAAUUUAAAAAUAGGUUGAGGUGUUAAUUCAGCCUUAAAAGAAAAUGAAUAAAGAAUUAAGCUCUUUAAAAAUAUUAAAAAUAAAUAAUAUUCAAGACGAACAAGUAAAUAAAAUAACUAAUGGAAGAAGUAAGGGAAAAAAACACAUAGUUCCCUACAAUUAUUUUCUUCUUUUCUUAUGAGCAUCUUUGUUGUAUGUCUUUUGGAAAUUCUCUUUUAUCAGAAUUUUUAUCUUCAUAAUUCUUUAAAGAAAUAUUUAUCUGGAGUGGGUGUGCGAAGUUGUCUUCCUUAACUUAUCCAAUUACUAUUAAUAUUAAUAAUGUCAGGUAAUUUCUAAUUAUUAUUAAUAUUAAUAAUGUCAAGUAAUUUUGGGAGAAAGGGAGUUUCCAAUACUAUUUCUUCUGUUAUGUGUUUGGUUAAUAUAAAAUUAUUUUUAUAACAGUUUUCCAUAUUACAUAUACUUGUAUCAGUUAAUUUAUAUUGAAUUUUUAAAUUAAAAUUAUUUGCAGUAAAUAGUUUCUAAAAAGUUCUCUCAUAAUAUUCCAAAUUAAACUUUCUCUUUAUAAUUUAGAUAUGUCACUCAGUCUAUUAAAGGUAUGAAUUUUUUAUAUAAAAAAACUUUCCUAUUCUUAAUACUAUAUUUACGUGCCAUUUUUAUUGUAAGUGUUUAAUAUAUAUCAUACCGGACGAAUUAGUCUUGAAUAUGAUGACAGAUCGAGUCAAAGAAUAUUUUAAGGUAUGCAAUAAAUAAUAGUAACGACAGUUACAAUAACACUGAAUGAGUCACAUUCAUAUCUUGAAAUAUGCAGAAAAUAUCUUUGACAAAUAAGCUAAAUACUAAUUAACUGAAAGAUGGUACAAAUAGUCUUCAUAUAUCCCAACAUAUUUAUAUAGUAACAUAUCUCCCUCCAAAUCAGGGAUAACAAUGAAUAUUAGUGAAUAAAUGAUGUUCAACCCAUCACAACAAGGGUCCAUAAUCAACACUAUAAAUGAACCCUUUAUAGAGGUGUAAAGGACGCUUUUAUCAAUUACAAAUAUACACUCUUUAUAUAGAAUACUUACUUGAUCGUCAAAGUACCUUUUUUCAGGUAACCCCCGACCGAGCAUCAGCAUUUGAGGAAGGAGACUCGAAGGAAGGAAUAAGAAACAACAAUCUCGUAUACUAUCUAGGCCCUCUUUGCCUAUACAGGUACAAUUGGCACCCAUCGUGGUGCCGAGAGAGUAGUCAAUUUCAAAUCAACUCCAAACUAGCAACAAUGGUGUCAAUUUCAGGAAGUGUGCCUUCUCAAGGAGUAGAAUAAAGAGUUAAAACACUGACUCAACAAAUUCAGACAAGAGGAGAAAUCCCGAUCGUGUGAUCACACUCACACCAAAAAGACAAUUGCGCAAACGCGUACUCAUCAAAGCUCCAGGCAAACCGAGCAGUCCCACCGUGCCGAUGACGAUCCGAAAGGACAUCCUUUUACGUAUGAAAUAAUGGAAGCACAACUCCCCUCCAAAUGGAAGGGACUGACUAUCAGGAUUUAUGACAGUUCCACAAACCCUGACGAGCACUUGAAUGUUUUUAAGACACAGAUGAACCUCUACACAACGAACAAGGUCAUGUUGUGUAAGGUUUUCCCCAACUCUAUUAAAGAAUGGUCGCUUAGUUGGUUCACCCGGCUCCUACCUAAUUCGGUGGAUAGAUUCAAAGCCUUGGCGGCUAAAUUUACUACGCAAUACGCAACGAGUCGACCGCAUCAUACGUCGUCGAUUGGCCCUCCUUAACGUAAAGCAUGAGAAGGAGGAAUCUUUACGGGCAUUCAUGGAAAGGUUCAGUAAAGUUUGUAUGAUUAUCAGAAAUUUCAUGCCAGAAAUAGCCAUGCAUCACCUGGUCUCGGGAAUCUGACUAGGUCGAUCACCGAAAGUUUGAUCAGGAGACCAGCCAACGAUCUUGAUGAAUUGAGGAACCGAGCAACAAAAUUCAUGCCGAUAAAGGAGUUAAGCGACUUCCACAAAAGUGUUUGAUCCGAGAAUGGAGGAGAUAAAGGGAAGGAAAAGGACAGAGGAAGUCCACCUACAUCUGGUGGAUCGAACAAAUUUAGAUAAAAUCAAGGACCAAGGUUUCUUAAUUACACCCCAUUGAAUGCUGCAAGGGAUAAAAUUCUGGACGAGGCACUACAAGCCAAACUGAUCCCAACCCUAAAACAGCUACAAAUUCCAAGAAAUGUCGAUAUGUCCAAGCAUUGUCAGUACCACCGCAACUUUGGCCAUACAAUCGAGAGGUGUCAAGCGCUGAAGGGCAUAAUAGACGAACUUGUCCAAGUCGGUCAUCUGUGCAAGUUUGUCCAAUCAAACGCUAACUCAUACUGAUCCCCACAAAGGGAGAGGUACCUUGCUAAGGAUCAGAAAGAGCAGUACACAGAGCGUGGACGAGAUCAUGUCGUUUUGACGAUAACCAACAUCCAGCUAAGCAGAGAAGAAGGACUGAAAGUUCUGUGCAUAGGACUCGACCAUGAAGCGAGAGUCCUCAAAGGAACGAUCGAUCAAGACAUAGCACCUGGGAGGUCAACAACACCAUUGUCGGUUCGAUUCCACUCGAAAACGUCGGUCGGAGCACUCCUUCCCUGGAGAACCGAGACCACAAAUACACCGUGGGCCAAGUAAAUACUAUCGCUGGAAGAUUCGCGGGAGGCAGAUAUUCCAGCUCCCCACACAAAAAGCAUCUUCGAGCCAUUCAAUCGGUCCACUCGGUUUGAUGAGAAUCAAAUAAAGGAGGCUUUUAUUAAUGGAGGAAGAGGACAUCCACCCUCACAUUUGAAGUUCUUCCUUCUAGUCUUCUCAAAAUUAAAAGAAGACAUAAAAUAAAGAUGAGGCCCAAGCCCAAAGCCCAAGCCCAAGCCCAAGAAGGCCAAAGCCCAAAGAGCCCAAGUCCAUCCCAUGAGGGGCAAGGCCAAGCUUUGAAAUACUCUUGUAUAGUUUUAGGAGGUGUGGUUAUUAAAUAAAGGUGUGUGAAAAUGUAAAAUAAAGUCACAUUGUCCAUGUGACUUAGGAGAGUGGUGUAGGUGUAGUUUUUGGGAGGUGUCAUAGUAGAAAAAGGUCACACCUCCCAUGUGACUUGUUUUNNNNNNNNNNNNNNNNNNNNNNNNNNNNNNNNNNNNNNNNNNNNNNNNNNNNNNNNNNNNNNNNNNNNNNNNNNNNNNNNNNNNNNNNNNNNNNNNNNNNGGGGGUCUCUCUCUCUCUCUCUCUCUCUCUCUCUCUAUAUAUAUAUAUAUAUAUAUAUAUAUAUAUAUAUAUAUAUAUAUUCUUAUACUGAGCUCUGUGUCACUGAAUAUUUCUAGAGGGAAAGUAAGCAUGAAUCUACAUCCUAUGCUCCUAGCAAUAUCAAAUCUUAAUAUUUGAAUCUUUUAACAUGAAUAACAACUAAAUAAGUGAUAUUAAUUUCUAACAAGAAAACUAAUAAUUAAAUUAUAACAUAUUUAUGAUUAAUUAUGUAUAUAUGUACAUCUAAUAUUUAAUUAAUUUUCUCCAUUUUUACUUUAUCUACUUUGUGAAGUGAAUUGCUCACUUUAGAAUAGCUGAAUUAUCAAAUUUAUUACAUUACUCUUACAUCUUUUACAUUUCACUUUUGGGAGAAAUUUGUAAUUAAUAUAUUUAGCAGAAUAUAUAAAUAAUAAUAUAUUAAAGUAAAUUAAUUUACGUUAUAUAAAGAUUAUGUCAGGAAAAACCAGCGUCUCAUUGUUAAUGUUUGACAUUUUGGUUAUGAUAUUUGUCCUCCAUUUGUUUUGUUCACGUCCUAGAAGUUAACUAAAUGAGGAACUUGUGUUAUCUUAAAAGCCUAACUAGAAACUUAAAACAUUAAAGGGUCUAAAUCACAAACAAAAAUAGUACUUAAGAAAUACGUGUUUUUUAAUUCUAAUGAAAAAGUACAUAAGAAGUUAUUGUAUAACUAGAAAUAAUCUCAACUAUAUAUUUCUUUCAACUCAACUUUUAAUUAAUUGGCUGUUAACUAAGUUUCGUAUUUAAAUAAAUACAUAAUCUUGCUAGCCAUUAGUUUAGGACAAGGGAUUAGAAAUGAAAAAGUAAAAUAUUAAUAAAUAAAGAAAUACUGAUAAAAUAAUCACUUAAAUAUCAAUAAUGCAUGUGUUUGUAAGAAUGUGAAAAGAAUAUCACUUAAAUGUAAUAAGUCUUCACAUAUCAUCUCAUGCGGCUUUUGGGGUGUCGUGUACAGUUUGGAAUAGAAUAAAUUUAAAUAAUUGUUUUAAGUAUUUAUAAUAUUGGUUAAAAUCAACUUUCUCUUCUAAUGCAUCUACCCUUUAACCUAUAUGGAGAAAGUUUUCAUAAUUUGUUACUAUGUUCUCUCUUUUCCUUUUCCUUUCUUUUGUUUCUUUCCCUAGUACCAAAAAAGGAACCAUCAGGCUGGUUAAAUGCAUGCGGCCUAUUUGAAAAUGGGUUUGAAUGUGCUAUUAUAAGCAAAAGUUUGCUCUCUUAUAGGAAGCUGGAACUGAGUUGGUAGAAAAUUUGAAGAAGAAGUUCGUCAUAAUGAGGGAGAAGAGGGUGCAUGCAGUUGUUUUAGAGGAACCACUCAUUGCUUAACAUAGAGGAAAGGAACCCAACAAAAUGUUACAUGUCAUCAUCAAAGGCUUCGAAAGGCGUGGGUGGAAGAGAUGGGCAUUGAUAGUUACAUGUGUAUCAUUCAUGAACUUGAUAAUCAUAGCUCAUCACUAGCAACGUGGGGUUAUUACAAUUACCAUAUAGGUUAAAGGGUAGAUGCAUUAGAAGAGAAAGUUGAGGUAUCAUUAUCGUCUGGAAUGAUUGAUAGAUAACUGCACCCUUAAAGUAUGUGUAGUGUAUUUUGUGUGUAUGGAAUAAUGCAUGUUGAGAAGUGUAGUUAUGCUAUAUGAAAUAAGGCGUGUUGAGAGAGAUCCGUUUCUAGAAUGAAUCUGUGUAUUUAAAGAGAUUAGUUUUUUUGACUCUUGAAAAUACCCGAUUGACUGAAAAGAGAAGGUUGAGGGGUAAGCUAAGCUACAAAGAGAUAUAUAACUGCUAGAGAGCAUAGUGACAUGGUCUCUUAACAUUUGCGUUUGUGGGGCUACAAACUACCAAAAGAUCUUUAAUUUCUUCUCUGACCUGACCCUGCCACGCUUUGCAGAAGCAUCCGCAAGCUUUUUCAAUAGGCCAAGGUACCUUUUCCUCUCUCACUCUGUGUCCAUCAAUUCUUUGCUGCAAACCUUUUGAGUCAUGUGAUAUAUCCUCACCUCAAAGUUGAAUAAAUCAAUAGUUGAAUGUUCUAGUAGUUUGUGCUUUUACCCUCCUAGUACAACAGCUUAGAGUUGGAAAAAAAUCUGCGGCAUGUUAAUUCUUCUUCCAGAUUUGAGUUCCCAUGUAGAAGAUAUCAUCAGUUAACUUAUCACCAAUCUACUGAUUUACCCUGUCCUUUUACUCUCUGUAGAAGAAGAGAAGAUAGAUAAGAUUACCAUAGGUCACAUAAAGAAGCGUGAGUAAUUAAGCUUUUUGUUUGUAUAUAUUCAUUCAUAUGGCUUUGUGAGUGGGUAAAAGGAAUCUGAAAGAUUGCAAUUGCAGGUGUGGCCUUUUGGGACCAGCAACAGUAGCAGAAUUGUCACAAUUCAAAGCCUGUGGGCAGCCGCAGCAGAUGAAGGACUACAGGCAACUAUAGUUAAGGGCAACAGCAAGCAAAGCAAAGUGUGUCUGCCUAAAGAAAACCUAUGCGGCAACAAACCCUUACAAGAAAAAAAUAAGAGAGCCGCAUUUAGGAAGAGAAAAGGGAGAGAUAUUGAAAAAAAAACUGGAUUUCAGUGGGAAUCAGUAUCAACCACCAAGUCCUAUACAAAGUCCACUUGACUCACAACAACAAAACUUGAUCAGCACACACAGAGCUCGUUAUCAAGUUUCUCAAAACCAACCUCGACAUGAUGAAGGCAUAACGAGAAGUUCCCACCGAAUAGAACCAUCUACUUUGAACCAAGCCAUAAAACACACAAAGAAUAAUAGAGGAGAAACAUUCACAAGGGGCAUGAGGAGCAGUGUAGGAGAUAUUGUUCAAGUGGAAGGAGGACACAUUGUUAGGUCCACAGGUAGAAAAGAUCGACACAGCAAGGUCUAUACUUCCAAAGGGCCUCGUGAUCGCCGGGUUAGACUCUCAGCACACACAGCCAUUGAGUUCUAUGACGUUCAAGACAGACUUGGCUAUGACAGACCAAGCAAGGCUGUGGACUGGCUCAUCAAGAAGGCAAAGUCUUCCAUUGACAAGCUUGCGGAGCUUCCUCCAUGGCAUCCACCUACUCAUGAGGAAAAGCAGAAUGAUGCUGCAGGAUCAAGUGGAAUCGUGGCAGUUGAACAACAACAAGAACAUCAUCAACAACAGUCAGAGUCUUGUGGUUACAACUUUCAGCUCCAGAGGCAACUGGGGGCCUUUAUUUCAACCCAUGUUGACACUGACCCCAUCAAUUUUCAAACCAACAACUCCUCUGAAGAUCUUGGCCUAUCUCUCCACUGCUUCCAAGAUCAGCCCGGCCUCAUUCAUUGGCCAUCACAACAAGGUGCAAAUCAAGCACCUCCUUCAAAUGAACACCAAACCCUUUUUGCGGGCUCAAUCCCAGUUGGUUUUGAGAACCAUUAUCAAAGAACCGUGACUUGGAACAAUGAAGCAACGACCGGGGAUCAUGUGAGCAGAAUGGGGUUCUUUCUCAACUCACAGACAUUUAUUAGCCAAGGUUCUGCUUCAGCUUAUGCACAAAGUGAGACCCUUCAGUCCAGUUUUUCAUUUCCAAUGACUUCCUCUGAGCAUCAGAGGCCCCAGCCAGUUCACCAACCUUCCUUCUUUGGCAGCAGGUUUGUGUCUGAUGGAUUAGCUGGGUUCUGCAUUCCUGAUAGAAUUCAAGGUGUGGAAGAGAACAAUGGAGUUGCUUCCAAUAGGCCAUCUUCUUCUCCUAGUUCUAUCCACUAAUUCCACAACAAGUACUGAACAAUGCUGUAGUCUUCAUAUCAGGUAUUCUACUCAUCAUAGAGUAAUGUUUAUAUCGUCUUACAAUGUACCACUUUAUAAAGAAAAUAUUAAAUGAAAACUCGUUUAAUACUUAUUACGCAAAUGAAGUAGAAGGAUUAUUAGGAAUAUGUUGAAGGAAGAUUUAGAAUCUGAUAAUAUUCUGGCCUUUUAUGGAACAAAUAUGAUAAACUAGGUAAAGCAAUAUACCAUGCAAAGCUUAAAAUCAAGCAACAAAGCUAUUUAUCCCCCUCUCCAAUUAACCAUUCCUUGUUAAAUUUCUCUCAUGCAUAUUUUUUUUUAUUGCAAACAUUUUUGGAGUUUUCUCUCACGCAUCUUAUUACAUGCAGGAGUGUUCUCUACCAGAUUUGGAGCCGAGUGAAGAUUAUUUAGGCACAUCUUAUGAUCUACAAAGAUUUCCUUUCAAUUUGACUUUCCGUUUUUGGUUUUAAAUUUAAAGUGAGUUCCCUUAAUUUUACCCUGCUAUCUAUAUGUAUAAUUUACAUUGAUGAAAAUGUCCUUGAGCUGAAUUUGGUGGUUAUAGUCCUUUCUGUAUUGUGAAUGUUGAGAAUAACAUAUUUCAUCUGAUAUCUAAUGAAAAUCAGAAGUUACAUGUCCAUUCUUGGCAAAACCACAUCCAAAGAAACAGAAUCUGAUUUGGACUUAUUCUUUCCCUGUAAUAGGAAGAGAAUAUGGCUUCCCUUUUCCUUGCCCCUCUUGUACGACCUUCAAAGGAAUUUUUUGGAAGUCAAACAUUUCCUUAAACCAUAUGGUCAGUAACACUGUAUUUGUUUGUCAGCUUCAAGUUCACUCAACAGUACUGUGAUUGAAAACUAUAAAUUCCAUAACGUAUGCACAUUAUUUGUUUUUGAUUCUGACAUAAAGGGCUGACACCCCUUUGCAUUUUAAUGAGAUUUGUGGAAUAGUUUUAGCAGUUUCAUGAAAUUCAUGUAUUUUCUUUUGCUCUUUAUUUGGUACAUUCAUGCACGUGGUGGUUGAAACAGCAGAAAUAAUGGUCAAUAUCCCUCAUGAUGAGUAUCCCCUAAACAUAGUAUUACAAUCAAACUAUGUGACAUCAAAUUUAGGAGAAAAGUUAAACACCAAUUAAUCGAAGACUAGAUGUUGCAGGCUAUUAGCAACUACCUAUACAUUGUUCAGUGUGUUAAUGUCACUUUUUUACAAAAAGAAGUCAAAGUUGGCAUGUUGAGCAUACUAGAAUAUGAAUACUCAUCCUACCUAUCUAGGACUUUUAUUGUGCAUACUUGAAUUAUACAAAAACUUAAAAGGAUCAUGAGUUUACUGUAAAUAUAGACGCUAGAUCUAUGAAACAACUUAAUCCUCACUCAUAAGUAUAUUUUUCGUAGUAUGUUUGGAUUGCUGUUAAGAUCCUUCUAAAAUUACUUUCAGACCCAAAACUACAAAGAAUAUCUUUCUCUGGAAGUAUGUUACACACUAAAGUAUUUUUUAGACGAAUACCCAAACAUAGUAGGCUAAGGUGGAAUAUGGAAAAUGGGAUUCUGCAACUCUGGUGACCUUUGAUAAUUCACACACUUGUCUGUGAUUAGCAAUAAAAUUUCCCUUUUUCCUUAAAUCACCACCUAAUACAAGUUAUAAAUAUAGCUUAUUCACAAAGUGAAAGUGCAUGUUGAUGAUCACAUAAGUCCAAAAUUAAUUUAUACACAGAGAAACAACAGUUAUAUUUUUAGUUUGGAAUAUUGUUGUAUUCACUUUAUCCAAAUUAGUGGCAAAACACAUUUAUACUUGUGCCUUUCACAAUCAAAUUAAAAUGAUUUGAAGACUAUAGUGUGAGAUCGUGUAACACAGUGCGAGACCGUAUAAUGCAGUGCGAGACCGUGUAACGUAGUGCGAGAUCAUGUAAUGCAAUGCUAUAUAGAUUGGUCAAAUGAUCUUAAAUUGUCUUCCAACGAAUCUAAUAGUAAAUCCAGUCCAUCAGUGUUCAAAAUUUAUCUGCAAGCAAAUACCAGUAAAGAUAAAAUGAGAUUUGGGUUUGUUAUGCAAAAAAAUAAAGUAGACGAUUAUAAAACUAGUAAAGAAAGCAAAUUGAAUCUCAAGUUUUUUCAACAAUGAAUUCUUCAUCAAUUGAUAGAAAUAUAUCAUUCAAUCAAUCAUCCAAAUAGAAUUGAAUUUACCAAGCAUGCGCCAUCCAAAUAUAAACAUUCACCCAUUAAUUCAUUAAGUACCUUACUUGUCUUCAUGCUUCUACUCAUAAGGUUUUUAAUCUUUUACCUUUUGAAUCAUGCGUCCAAGACAUUGUUUAGAAUAAUGAAAACUUAAACAAGAGCUUCAAUCAAAGAUAGAACUGAAUAAUCAACAUACGUUCAAAAACAUUUUUCAAAACAGAAACUAAAACUAAAAAAGACCAGACUGUCUAACAUAGUAUAAUAAUUGAAGAUCAAAACUUUAAUUACAUAAAACCUCAGAAUUCAUUGUGAGAUUACAAAAGAAUCAACCCAAAUAUGUUUAUUCUUCCAUGUGGAGGCAAAACAAAUGAAUUACAAAGGAGAAGUAAAGAAAAUGUACCGUCCCGUAUCCGGGUGUUGACUCAGUCAAGGUCAAAGUCAACGACUGGAGAGUCAAAGUCAACGCAAGGCGUCGCCUAGGUGGAGAGACGCCAAGUGCCAGCAUCGCCGAGAGGAAGCGUCGCCCGGACAAGGCGUCGCCUAGGCGAUGACGUCGCCCAACCAGGGCGUCGCCAGAUCAAACAGUGCUAAAGCAAGGCAAUCACGGUGUGGUUCCCCGAUACCCAUGGGUAGGAAAGACCAUGGAGGGAGCGACGCCGUGGGAAGGCCUCAGGUCCCGAUAGCCCGGGGCAGUGAUACAGAGGAGGAAAAGGUGGCUUCAAGGCCAUAGUGAUAGCAUCAGUGGAGGGCAGCCUGACUCGUGAGGUACCCCUGCCGCCCCAGAGACGCCUUGGGGACAGAUACGACUCAAGAGGAAGGUCACGCCCAGGGCAGCCGGGUGCAGGGUACGAGAGGAAGGCAGAUACGCUCUCAAAGUAAGUGACUAGAUGAUUGGGGGCAUGAGUUGGCACCCAAAAAGUCACCCCUAGCGCAGUAGCACUCCCGAGCAGGAGGACUCACGCGUAGAAACGUCCCCAGCUGGGCAGAAACGCCCCCAGAUGGGGUCACGGCGUCGUGAGGACCUCCACGUGUACGACAGCCAUGCCAGAAUAGAAACACCCUUCAGUCAGGUGCCAGGUAAUUAAAGUCAUUCAAUACAGUUUCCGUUUCGAGCGUUCAGGUACUAUGAUGACUCCCAAGCGUUUCAACGUCUUAAAUGCGCUACGUUUUCUAAUUAAACGCUUUAAUGAGUGCGUUACGUUUGUGAUUAAAAGCUCUUUAAGACGCUUUAAAUGCUUGGGUAGUUGAAAUAGUGCGGAGAAUGUUGGAAACGGGUUUGGUUCGAACUUUUGGCAAAUUUACCAGAGAACUCUCUAGUUGCUUGCUCGUGCUUGAGGUUACGUACAAGGGACUGGGGAAAGAUCUUUGCCUGAGGGAGAAAACACACACAUAUACAUAGUUCUUUUUUUCACCUUCAGAGUGCCAUACGCGGUGCUCAGAGACGUAGGUGAACAGUUUUGGUGUUUCUUGCUGGCUGACUUGAGCGUCGGAGUGCAAACGGCCGCUAGGGCGCCUCUUUGUCCUCUUUUUUGCAGGAAUCCACAGAUAACCAGUGGGAAGGAGUCCCUAGCUGACGGUUGAGGUCGCGCACGAAGACGUCCCGGUCAACCGGACGGAACAGAAAACUAAGAAAAAGUCUAAUUCUCUUGUUUUUCGAUGCCACUUUGAAUCCUUGAACUUUGAAUCUUUUAAUGUGUUUGGUUUGAUUACCUUUUUACUUCCUAUAUUAAGGGCCACAAAUUAAUUCCAUCCCCAGAUUUUAAAAAGUUCGAUGUGGUCCCAAAAACAAAUAAAUGUGGUGGUCCCAACAUUUUUUAAAAGGAUUCAAUGUGGUAACAACACAUAUAAUUCAGUGCGUAGUGGUAGAAUUAUUAAGGUAAAUUUUUUUUAAGGAGGAAAAUUUAACAUAAGGAACCAUAUUGAAUCGUCUUAAAAAAAAUUGGGACCAAAUUGAACUUUUUAAAAAUUUCGGGACUAAAUUAACUUUUGACCUGUAAUAUAGGGACUAAAAGGGUAAUUAAGUCUAUAAGUUUUAUUGCUCCAAGGAUAUCAUAAUAAUAUUUUGGUUAAGACAUUGUUCACAGUUUCUCAAUUUCUAACUUCCUAGCAUUCUCAGAUUUUGUUUCCUAUUUGAUUGUAAAUUUUCUUUCUUAAUCUCUUUGUAGAAGAAUUGGUUCCAAUUCUAUUAAUGAGAUAUUGUAGAUUUUUAUUCUCUAAUUCUUCUACUCAGAUCUCAAUUUCUAUUUCGAUUUAGAUAAACACUUGGACUUUCGUGUGAUUCGGCCUAGUCGCAGUAGUAGAUGUUUACCUCUAGUUAGACCAUCUAUUAUGAGAAAUAUUAGACCGUCUAUUGCAACUAAAAUAUAAGAAAAAAAUCACAGAAAAGACUCAAAUAAACACAAUUAUAUUUAAAACAAUGGAUAUAUAUAUAUAUAUUAUUUUAGUCCAACACAACUAUGAUACAACUAUGAUUGAAUGUUUUAAAUGUGAAUAAAAUUAUACUCAUCACACAUUACAUAUAUCUCUAAUUUUUUAAGAAAAAAUAAUAAUAAUGGUUCUUUCAUAAAAAUAAUAGUGGAUAAAUAUUUUUUUAUAAUUUGAAAUACAAUUAAGGAUAAAAUAUAAAUAAGAAAUGUGUGUAAUAAAUGAAAAUUGUCUAUUAUAUAUUAUUAUAAAUUUUAGAUUUUUAACUUUAAAAUAUAAUUAGUAAAAAAUAAAAAUAUGAAAUGUGUCUAAUAAAGAAGAAAAAAUCUCCUUUAUAUUAUUCUUUAAAAGUAUAUUUAAAUAUAAAAUAUAAAAUCUCUAAGAUAUAAUUUUUAACAAGUGGUUCUACAUAUGUUAAUUAGUUUAUUACUAUGAGUUAGAUUCGAAAUUUGAUAAAAUGAAUAUUUUGUAAAAAAUAAAUCAGUUGAUUAUUUUUUUUUGUCUGAAUUAUCGAUAAAGGUUUGAUAUAAUAUAUAAUUAGAAUGCUAAAUUAGGAUAUAGUACCUAAAUGGUGUAAUUUUAAACUUUUAUUACUGAUUUGGGUAAAAGAAAAUUGGUUUAUUUCGAUCUGGGUCAUCAAUUUCGUUAUGAAUGUGUCUAAUCUUUGGUCUUCCAGAUUCUUUAUGUUUUAUGUGAAGGUUUGGAAUAAAAUGGGGUCCAGUGUAAGAAAACCAAUAAUCUUGAUUUUGCACUAGGUGAAAUUAGACCUCAUACGCCUUAUAAAUAUUGUGGAGACUAUAAAGUGGAUGAACAAACAUUGUUAGUUGCAAGUGAGAAUAAGAGCAAUUUGCGAUGACAUGAAGACAACGAUGACACAAAGCUUGAAACUCCCCACAAUUGUACCACCAUUCAUUCAAUCUGACUGUGAAUGACGUAGGUCGGUGUUGAAUGUUUGAAAGUUAAUAUUUCCUGAACAUCAAGUUCUGAAUUUUCUUGAUUAAAUCUCUCUACAUGACACAUGGCAAAUUCCUGGUAAUUUUUUCUUAGUAAAGCAACAAUAUCUUUUGGAAACUAAUGACUUGCUCAUAGCAUAACUGAUGCAUUCAUGCCUCGUUCAACAAACCAUGCAUUUGUUCUUUCGAAGGUUGUUUUUACAAGAGCCCAAAUUGUUAAGGAUCGUGCUCCCUUCAAAAUUGAAGUCAUGCAUUCCGCAAGAUUUGUUGCCACAUGCUUUUUUCUUCUCCUAGCAUAUAAGGUCCGAGUCCACUUUUCUAGAGAUAUUUGUCUAUCCACGCAAUGACUUAGGGGAAUUCAACUCACAUUGCAGAUAACAUGAUAAACGUUCAUAAAACAUAUAACGAAAAUCAUAUAAAUUAGACAAUAUAUAUAGAAAGUGCAAAUUUUGGAAUACACAUUCAUAUGUUUAUAAGUUGUCUCUUGAGCUCUGAAUUUUUGAAUUUUAUGCUGAAGUUCGAUGCAAUGUGACAAAUACAAAAUAUUGAUUGUAGCCCAUCCACGUCCCAACCAACUUCACAGGAGAUUUCAAUGCUGGCAAUAUGGUCUUUCCUCUAUCGAUGAUGAGGCAUACAUUAGGUGAGGAUGUCACGUAUGCACACAAUAGUUGAAAGAACUAUAUUAUGGCUUCCUUUGUUUCUCCUUUAACAAUUGCCAAAGCCAACAAAAAUAUGUUACGAUUGCCAUCUUGCCCAAUUGUAGUCAAGAAAGUUCCAUGAUAUUUUUAGGUUAAAAAAGUGCCAUAAACUUUGACGAAGCCCUGAGAGAUAGAGAACCCACUAAGCUAGCCCAACCUUCUAGAAGGAUGACUAGGAGCAUGACACAAGACACAUGGUUAGGUCAAGAUCACUCCAUAGCCCCUCAGAGCCCAUCAUUCCUUAAAGGACCACCAGGAGCAGAGCCCACAUGAUGGGAGUUGAGCACCAACUAAUCUCUUUAUUUUUACUUUCAGUAGAUUAAGGUGUAAAUAUCAUAAUAUGGGGUUGUACUUAGCAUAAAUUGGGCUCACUUUAGGGGUUCCAAAUAAAGGAAUAAACUAGAGUAGGGUGUGCUUAGUAGGGUUUAGAGUUUAGGGGUUCCGAUGUAUGCUGAGUGUGAUUGUACUAUUUUGAUUUCAAUUUGUUCGUUGUAUAUUAUUGCUCAUGAGAUGUCUGCUGGAUAGGGUUUAUUGAAUAUUUGUUUAUUGAGCGAGAAGAAAAUCAGAGAAAUCUUCUUAAAUGGAGAAUAGGCAAAGGGAAAUCUAGGGUAUGGGAGGAUUUUUCUUCCUCAUAGUGAGUUUACUUAUAACCGAGUAGUUAAUUCUACUACAUCUGACACCCCUUUUAAGGUUAUGUAUGGAUUUAAUCCCAUUUCACCUCUUGACCCGCUUCCUAUUCUAGUACUUGAUAAGGCAUUGUGCAAGGAUGGUUUUGAAAAAGGCAUCUUUUAUUAAAAACUUGCACCAACACAUCAAGCACUAAAUAGAAAGGAAGGUAGGCAAAUAUGUUCAACACGCCAAUAAGGGGCGCAAAGCUUCGAUCUUUGAACCUAAGGACUGGGUUUGGCUUCAGUUGAGGAAGGAUCGCUUCCCUACUAAAAGGAAAUCUAAACUUUUUCCCCGUGGUGAUGGUCUCUUUCAGAUCAUUAAAAGGAUCAAUGAUAAUGCUUAUGACUUAGAUUUACCUGACACGUACUUAGAGAGUAAUUCUUUCAAUGUUAGUGAUCUAACUCCUUUCUCUACAGGUGUUUCAAAAUCGUGGACAAAUUCUAUCCAACACCGGGAGUAUGAUGAAGCCCUGAGAGAUAGAGAACCCACUAUGCCCAACCUUCCAAAAUGAUGACUAGGAGCAUGACACAAGACAUAGGGCUAGGUCAAGAUCACUCCACAGCCAGUGCCUCAGAACUUAUCAUUCCUCAAAGGACCACCUGGAGUAGAGCCCACAUGAUGAAGACCUAAGAGAGAGGGUGUGAUGGAAGAGGGCCAAGCUCAACACCCCAUGAAAGACAAGAGCCAAAUCUAGAGCGUCUAGCACAAGGUGGAGAGCGUCUAGCACAAGAUGGAGGGCGUCUAGAGGGAGAGCGUCUAGAAGGAAGGGGAGAGCGUCUAGGACCUAUUACUAGGUCCAUGACCAAGCUACGGAUGGGAGCCUUGGGCCAAGCCACGAUUGGGAGAGAAAACAACUUGUAUAUGCUACAUGAAGGCCCAUUAAGGGUAGCUUAGUAUUAAGUGUAGUGUAAAUAGCAUAAUCUUGAUUCCAUGAGACUUGACCUAGAUUUGGCAAAGAUAUGGUCACGUUCUAGAAGGAUUCUCCACUAGGACCGAUCAUGUGCUCCAUGUGAUGUAAUUUGCAUUUCAUUUUGAUUAGCAUUAGGGUUGCAUUAUGGUCCUCCUUAGCCUAUAAAAGGAGGAGCCUACACCUUGUAUUUUCAAGACUAUUUUGAGUAAUGAAAUGCUGCCCAAGUGCCAUUCAAAUUACUCCCUUGCCAAAUUCUCUAUAGAAUUAGGUUUUUAGUCUUCAAUCUUCACCCUCAAAUGGAGAUGGCCGAACCACUCCAACCCUCACUACUCCUCAGGGACCUUCAAGGCACCCACACUUCCUAGGAAGGCCUUGUUCCACUCUCCUCCACCAAGCUUCUGCACCCAUCAUCAUAUGAUUUGAAUGCUUCUCUAUUCAUUUCAAUCGGUAGAUUUUGUUCAAAUUGUGCUUGAGCAUCUUAUUUCAACUUUGUGUAGGAUUUUUGAUACUUUGUGUUGCUGUUUUUUAUUUUUUAGGUUGCAUGAGUCUUGAUUGAAAUUUUAUUCGGUUCAUAUUAAUAUGUUUGAGUCAUUUUAUUUUCUGAAUCUAUAAGUUUUGUCAAGUCUUGUGUUUCCAUAUUUGUCAUCAAAUCCUAGUAGUACUUUUCUUGGUUUAUUUUGUUUCUUGUUUUUGGUUUGAAGGCUUGAUCUAAAAUCUGUUGUGUUUUGAUCCUUUGGUGCUUUAUAUUUUUAGUUUAAGUUCAUAUUUAUGUGUUAGAUCCACACAAAUUCCAUUACACCAUUUCCAUUGUGUUUUCAUUGGUAUAUCAUUCUGUUUUUUGUUUCCAAAUUUGCAGAAUCCUCUGUUUUCCACCAUUCUGUUUUGGCUGAUUUUUCUUAUGAAAAUUAAAUGCCACAUAAGAAAAUUCUGAGCCUCUGGAUUUUGCUAGAUUGAGGUGUUAGAGAAAGGAAAAAAAAAGAAUCAGUUCAAAAAGAGAAAUAGAAAAAAAAAGAUAAAUAUUAUAAAAACAGUGUGCAAUCCUGACGCUACAACUGGCGGUUCUGAGCACUGAUUUUAGAAAAAAUAUUAAAAAAAAAUGGUGCAUGCGUUUGGAGUGAAACCAACGCCAAAAAUUUGUUGCGAUCUUGAUCUGUUUGAAUAUAAAUUUUCAGAAGCAAAUAUUAAAAGGCCAGCUCAGAAUAAAUCUGUGAAAAUCACGCAUUCUGGACCACAACAAUUUGUUUCAGUGGUGCUGUUUUUGGUUUUUAAAUCAAAUCUAGUGCUAUUCCAUAGGUUCCUUUUUGUGUGCCAUCCUUUCUUUGAGUACCUUUUUAUUUGCUUGUCUAAUUUCAUUGGAACUCUUUCUAGUUGUCACAUUUAAUUCCAUUUGUGUGGUUUUGUUUUUUCAAAUUAAUUUGUUUCUUGCUUUCUUUCUUUGACCUCUAAGCUUUGUGGUGGAUUAAAUAUCAAUUGGUGCUUGUUGAGUGGAAAUUGACUUGAGAGGAGUCUAGCUUUGCUUGAUAGGUGCUGGAUUGAAGAUUUUAAUUACCUAAUUCCAAGAGGAAGAAAGGCAAGGGCAGCAACAAAACACAUACUAAAUACACCACACACAUUGGAAGGCCCAACCAAGAAGAGACAACAAAGGAAGUGCAAAUAGAAAAUCAACAAAGGGAGUUUCAUCUAAUUUCUUUGCAACUUAACUCUUGCUAAUUACUUGUUUAAUUAUGCAAUUAGACAGUGAGUGUGUCUUCAAGGACUCCAAGUGUCCAAGAAGCCUCACCUAGGGCCGACUAGCUUAAAAUUAUCUAACUUAGUUUUUGUUAAUUGCUUUAAUUGCAUCUUUUUGUCAUUAAUUAGCUACGCUUGUUAAUUGUUUUUGUCUUGUUUAAGCUUAUUUAAUUUUGCUUGGUUGAUUAGAUAGUUUGCAUUGUUUCUUUUAAAAAUUGAUUCCUCCAACUUCAUUGUGUUUUAAAUGGUUUACCAAGAGAAAGAUUUGUGUGAAGAUAUUGAGGGAUAGUUUUUGACUAAGGUAAGACUUCGUAUUUAAGUAAUCCAUUGUGACUCACCUCUCUUACCUGGAAAACUACCUUCUUUAACUUCCCUCAUUUUUCUCAAAGUAAAACAUUUCUAGACACAAAGUUCUAGUCAUGUCUUCUCAUUCUUCAAAGUCUAUGGAAAGUGAUGUGAAAUCCAUCAAAUCCCUUUUGAAACAACUUGCCAAGGAUGUUCAAUUAAUUUCCUAUAGACAAUUGGAGAAUGAGUCUAAAUCAAUGAACUAACUAGGGCAAAAGAAGAGAAAUCACAAAAUUCAAAAAAAACUCAUACUCAUGCAUCACAUUCCAAAGAUAAUGAGUCUCUAGGGGAGGAAAGCCUUAGAAUCAAUGAUUACUACCAACCACCCCCUAGAAAAUAUAGGCAAAGGGAGCAAGAGGGCCAAAGGGAAGUUAGGGUAAACCUACCUCAUUUCCAUGGUAAGGAGAACGUAGAAAUUUACCUAGAUUGGGAAAUGAAAGUAGAGCAACUCUUUGCUUGCCAUAGGGUGAGUGAAGAACGCAAGGUACCCUUAGCCACCCUUAGCUUCCAAGGGAAUGCCAUGUAUUGGUGGACCUCUCUCGAAAGAGAAAGACGUCUUCAUAGGGAACCUCCCAUUGAAUAUUGGAAUGACCUUAGGGGAACCCUAAGACGUCGACACAUACCCUCGUACUACCAUAGGGAGUUAAUGGACAAGCUCCAAAGACUCCAACAAAAGAAUAUGAAUGUAGAGGAGUAUAGGAAGAAAAUGGAGCUCUAUAUGAUGAGAGCAUCUAUUAGAGAAGAGGAGGACACCACCAUAGCAAGAUUCCUUAGUGUCCUCUCUCUUGAGAUAAGAGAUAGGGUAGAACUCCUUCCCUACCAAGACUUGAAUGACUUGGUUCAACUUUGCAUUAAAGUUGAACAACAAAAUUUGCGCAAAACUUCAAGUUAAAGGGUGGGUUCAUACUCNNNNNNNNNNNNNNNNNNNNNNNNNNNNNNNNNNNNNNNNNNNNNNNNNNNNNNNNNNNNNNNNNNNNNNNNNNNNNNNNNNNNNNNNNNNNNNNNNNNNCCCAAGAAAGACUAUAAGAGGGAGGGUAGCACAACUAGAGAAAAACCAAAGGAAACUACCAAGCCCUUAGCAAAAGAUACCUCCACCCCACCCUUCCAAACUAGGGACGUUAAGUGCUUUAAGUGCUAUGGAAGAGGGCAUGUGCAAGCACAAUGCCCAAACCAAAGGACUUUGUUUUUAAAAGAUGUAGACGAAUACACUAGUGGUGAGGAUGAGCCAAGUGAGAGAGAGGAAGGGGGAGAGGAUGAGAGGGUAGCUCCAUUAGAGGGAGAAUUGUUAAUGAUUAGGAGAACCCUCAACAAUCAACCUAGCACAUCCAUGGAAACAUAAAGGGAGAACAUCUUUCAUACAAGAUGUAAUGUUUUAGAAACUAUAUGUUCCCUCAUUGUGGAUAGUGGAUCUAGUUGCAAUUGUUGUAGUGCUAGAAUGGUUGAUAAGCUUAAUCUACAAGUAGUUCCUCACCCCAAAACCUUACAAAUUACAAUGGAUUAAUGAAAAUGGGGAACUAAGUGUAGAUAAGCAAGUGGAAAUCGAGUUUUCCAUAGGGAACUACAAAGACAAGGUUUUAUGUGAUGUAGUACCUAUGGAAGCUUGCCACAUCUUAUUAGGGAGACCAUGACAAUUUGACAAGAAAACCUUGCAUGAUGGUCUCACUAACGAGAUUUCCUUCACCCAUAAGCAUAGGAAGUUUGUGCUUAGUCCUUUACCACACUCUCAAGUGGUAAAAGACCAAAUACAAAUGAAACAUAAGAGGGAUGAGAAAAAAAAAGAGUGCUAGAAAAAGAGAAAAUCCUUAGGGAUAGAAAGGCGUGGGAGAAGAGUGUUUCUUCCCACAAGGUUGCUCAACAAGAAAAGCCUUUUGAAAACAUUUUGGAAAAUUUGCUUCUUGUUGAACAACCAAGCCUAAUCUUUAGUAAGGGAACACUUGCAUGCACUGCCACAAGUAAUGAACCCAUGAGUCUACCUCCUCAAGUGGAAAAUCUUUUAAGAGAAUUUGAAGAUAUUUUCUCUAAUGAGGGACCUAUUGGACUCCCUCCCAUUAGAGGUAUAGAACAUCAAAUUGACUUCAUUCCGGGGGCAAGCCUACCAAAUAGGCCCGCUUAUAAAACUAACCCCGAGGAAACCAAGGAGAUAGAGUCACAAGUUCAAGACUUGUUGGAGAAGGGUUGGGUUCAAAAGAGCCUAAGCCCUUGUGUUGUACCUGUCUUGUUGGUGCCAAAAAAAGAUGGAAAAUGGCGUAUGUGUUGUGAUUGUAGAGCAAUCAACAACAUCACCAUCAAGUAUAGGCAUCCAAUCCCAAGGCUUGAUAACAUGCUUGAUGAGUUACAUGGGUCAACCAUAUUUUCUAAAAUUGACCUUAAAAGUGGGUAUCACCAAAUUCGAAUCAAAGAGGGUGAUGAGUGGAAAACCGCUUUUAAGACCAAGUUUGGAUUAUAUGAGUGGUUGGUGAUGCCUUUUGGACUCACUAAUGCCCCUAGUACAUUCAUGAGGCUCAUGAAUCAUACCUUGAGGGAUUGUAUAGGUAAAUACGUAGUAGUUUACUUUGAUGAUAUCUUAGUGUAUAGCAAAACCCUAGAAGACCAUCUAAGUCACCUUAGGGAAGUUCUUCUAGUGCUUAGGAAAAAUAGUUUAUUUACCAAUAGUGAUAAGUGCACCUUUUGUGUAGAUAGUGUAGUUUUCCUAGGUUUCAUAGUUAACAAAAGGGGGGUGCAUGUUGACCCCGAGAAGAUCAAAGCCAUCCGAGAGUGGCCAACUUCGCAAAACGUAAGUGAUGUAAGAAGUUUCCAUGGGUUAGCUAGCUUUUAUAGAAGGUUUGUACCUAAUUUUUCAAGCUUAGCUUCCCCUUUAAAUGAACUUGUCAAAAAAGAUGUUGCAUUUUGUUGGAGUGAUAAGCAUGUGCAAGCCUUCCAAAGGCUAAAGGCUCAACUCAGCAAUGCACCAAUUCUAGCUCUCCCAAAUUUUUCUAAAACCUUUGAGAUAGAAUGUGAUGCAUCGGGAGUGGGCAUAGGUGCGGUAUUGUUGCAAGGUGGACACCCCAUUGCAUAUUUUAGCGAAAAACUCCAUGGUGCCACCCUCAACUACCCCACCUAUGACAAAGAGCUUUAUGCUCUUGUGCGAGCCCUAAAGACUUGGGAACACUACCUUGUGUCCAAAGAAUUUGCAAUCCAUAGUGAUCACGAGUCUUUAAAGUAUUUAAAGGGUCAGCACAAGCUCAACAAGAGACAUGCUAAAUGGAUGGAGUUUCUUGAACAAUUUCCUUAUGUAAUCAAAUACAAGAAAGGAAGCACCAACAUAGUGGCCGAUGCUCUCUCAAGGCGACAUGUACUCUUUUCAAAAUUAGGUGCCCAUAUUCUUGGAUUUGAUCACAUAAGAGAGCUUUAUCAAGAGGAUCAAGAAUUUUCAUCCAUCUAUGCCCAAUGUCAACAUAGGGCACAAGGAGGUUACUAUGUGGCCGAGGGAUAUCUUUUAAAAGAAGGAAAACUUUGCAUUCUCCAAGGCACACAUAGGAAGCUCCUUGUCAAGGAAUCACAUGAAGGGGGACUCAUGGGCCAUUUUGGAGUUGAUAAGACUCUAGAUCUUUUGAAAGAAAAAUUUUAUUGGCCACACAUGAGAAAGGAUGUCCAAAGACAUUUCUCUAGAUGCAUAUCAUGUUUAAAAGCAAAGUCUAGAACAAUGCCUCAUGGACUCUACACCCCUUUGCCAAUUGCAAAUGCUCCUUGGGAAGACAUUAGCAUGGACUUCAUUUUAGGACUCCCUAGGACUACAAGAGGCCAUGACUCUAUCUUUGUGGUAGUGGACCGUUUUAGCAAAAUGACCCAUUUUAUUCCUUGCCACAAGGUAGAUGAUGCUCAAAAUAUUUCUAGACUCUUCUUUAGAGAAGUGGUGAGACUCCAUGGUAAACCUAGAAGUAUAGUAUCCGAUAGAAAUCCCAAGUUCAUAAGCCACUUUUGGAAAACUCUUUGGGGCAAACUUGGAACAAGACUACAAUUUUCAACUUCUUGUCAUCCUCAAACGGAUGGCCAAACCGAAGUAGUCAAUAGAUCUCUUGGAACUAUGCUUAGGGCUAUCAUGAAGGGAAACCACAAAUCUUGGGAUGAGUACCUUCCCCACAUUGAGUUUGAUUACAAUAGAGUAGUCCACAAGACUACUAAUGCUUCUCCUUUUGAAGUUGUAUAUGGAUUUAAUCCUCUCACACCUAUGGAUUUGUUACCUCUUCCUAAUCCACAAGAAUUUGUGCAUAAGGAAGGAGUAAUCAAAGCCGAUUUUGUGAAGAAAAUGCAUGAGAAGAUUAAAAUCCAAAUACAACAACAAAACGAAAAGUAUGCAAAAUACAACAAUAAACGGAAGAAAGAAAUAAUUUUUGUGGAAGGAGACUUAGUUUGGCUUCACCUUCGAAAAGACCGAUUUCCAACUCAAAGGAAGUCCAAACUAAGUCCCCGAGGUGAUGGACCCUUCCAAGUCCUCAAGAGAGUCAACAACAAUGCAUACAAAUUGGAUCUACCUCUUGAAUAUGGAGUACAUGAUACUUUUAAAGUAAUUGAUCUAUCUCCAUUUGUAGGUACCAAUGAAGACGAGGACGACAUGGAUUUGAGGACAAAUCCUUUCCAAGGGAGAGGGGAUGAUGGAAUAGGGCCAAGCUCAACACCCCAUGAAAGACAAGAGCCAAAUCUAGACUGUCUAGAGCCAAGAGAAGAGCUUCUAGCACAAGGUGGAGAGUGUCUAGCACAAGGUGGAGAGCGUCUAGAAGGAAGGGGAGAGCGUCUAGGACCUAUUACUAGGUCCAUGACCAAGCUACGGAUAGGAGACAUGGGCCAAGCUACGGAUGGGAGAGAAAGCAACUUGUAUAUGCUACAUGAAGGCCCAUUAAGGGUAGCUUAGUAUUAAGUGUAGUGUAAAUAGCAUAAACUUGAUUCCAUGAGCCUUGACCUAGAUUUGGCAAAGAUAUGGUCACGUUCAAGGAUUCUCCACUAGGUCGGCCAUGUCCUCCAUGUGAUGUAAUUUGCAUUUCAUUUUGAUUAGCAUUAGGGUUGCAUUAUGAUCCUCCUUAGCCUAUAAAAGGAAGAGCCAACACCUUGUAUUGGCAAGACUAUUUUGAGUAAUGAAAUGCUGCCCAAGUGCCAUUCAAAUUACUCCCUUGCCAAAUUCUCUCUAGAAUUAGGUUUUUAGUCUUCAAUCUUCACCCUCAAAUGGAGAUGGCCGAACCACUCCAACCCUCACUACUCCUCAUGCACCUUCAAGGCACCCACAUUUCCUAGGGAGGCCUUGUUCCACUGUCCUCCACUAAGCUUCCGCAUCCAUCAUCAUCAAAAUCAAAGAAGAGCUCAUAGGAAUGACAUCACAAAUCGUCCCAAUUAGACACGACUCUGUCAUGUCAUAAUGAAGUCGUGCCAACUUCGCACGACUUCUACCACGUCAUUUUUUUUUAAUUUUAUUGUUUAUAUAUUGGGCAGUAAGUUAUGUAAUGUUAAAAAUUAAUUUGAUACAUAACUUUCUAAGAGUGUUAGUUUUAAGGAACAAAAAAUUUGAUAAUCGUGUAUGGAUCAUGUCCGACGCCAUUAAAUAUCAAGAUAUCAAAAAAAUUGCAUACAUGAGACAUUAAAUAUCAAAAUAUACUUUUUGGCUAGUGGGAAACCAUGUCCAGCGGCAAUGUCCUCAGGAGUUAAUGGCUCAAAGUUUGAAUAAGCUGAUUAUCCAAACAUGAUGCAUACACGAUUAUCCAAUUUUUUGUUCCUUAAAACUAACACUCUUAAAAAAUUAUGUAUCAAAUUAAUUUUUAACAUUAGAUAACUUACUACCCAAUAUAUAAACAAUAAAAUUUAAAAAAAAAAUAUGUGGCAGAAGUCGUGCCAAUUUAGUAUGACAGGGCAGAAGUCGUGCCAAGUUGGCACGACUUCAGUAUAACAUGACAGAGUCGUGUCUAAUUGGAACAAUUUGUGCAUAUGAAGUCGUGCCGAAUUGGCACGACUUGCCUAAAUUUGUAAUUUUUUUUAAACGGACCCCAUUUUGGUAAAAAGCAAAAAAAAUAACCCCAUCAUGGUGAAAAACCCCCCGGGUUCAGGACGGUAUUAAUAAAAUAUGCAAAUCUUGCAAUUACAAGGGCUCAAACACCUCCUCUAGGGAGGGUUCGACUUCAAUAUUGUCCCCCUGGCCUUCUACAUUAUUUGCAUUGUCCUCUUCGUCUUCAUCGACCGAUAUGAAUUUUCCAUCUAUGAUAUCUUUAUUCAUAUCAUAUCGGUCGUCUUCUAGAGGAACAUGAUAGAACAGUGGGAAUAACAGUUAACUAUUCUAUCAUUAACUAUGAAUUAACUAAGAGCUACAGAAUACUAAACUAGAUUUAACUAUCAACUUUUCUUCCUUCUUUCUAUUUCCAAAAUAUCUCACUUAUAUAGGUGAGAAUUAGGUUAAUAUAUUUAUUGGGCUUACAUGCUAUUGGGCCUCCUAACAUUACUAUCUGCUCCAAAAAAACACUUUGUCCUCAAAGUGUGACCUUAGUAUUAGUUGGACUGGUGUACGUGAGGUGUAUUGGAGCUGGCACGGGGUGCAGAAAUAGUUUGGGGGUGCAGGAAUAGUUUGGGCCGCGAAGGGUGAAUUGGGCUUGGUAUUGGGUGUUGGGUUAUUAGGGUUGGUAGGAGGAAUUGCUGGUGCGUUAGGGUUUUGGGAGAGGGGGUGCAGCUUCAGGAGUAGGGUUUGGAGUGGGUGGAUGGCGCCGUUUGGGAUUUAGGAGGGCAGGGCGCCGCUGCUGAACUUUUUUUUUUUUUAAAAAAAAAAAAAAUAAACCAUCUUUGGUGCUCUAAUGGAUACGAAGGAGGAAGGUGUUGGAGGUGGCAUUGAGCGGUGUGGCGGCGGCGAUUUGGGCAGUGUAAUUUCAGGUGGGCGGCACGGCUAGAGUGCUUGUCGUUGAACGAAGUGGAGCUCGGUGAGCGACAUUUGGGCUGCAGACGCUGUUGCGGCGUGUGUCUUCGUGCGCGUGGAUGUUGGCGGCAUUGGGUGGCGCGGCGGUUUGAGCGUGAGCGGUGUUGUGGCGUCUGACCUGGUAUGUAACGUGGUGUACGCGGAGGCUUGCGAUGCUGGGCGGCACGACGGUUGAGGCGCGGGCGCUGUUGCGGCGUGUGUCCUGGCGUGGAGGCUGGCGGCACUGAGCGGUGCAGAGGGGGAACUGUUGCGGCGCUGGUGGAGUUGUGCUAGUGUUGGAGUCGCUGGUGGGGAUUUUUAGGGUUUCUUCCAUAGCAGAUAAGCACUUUAGAAUGGAGUUUAGUAUUUGAUUUAGGUCUUUUGUUUGUGUUUGAGGAGGCAUGGAGAACGUGAAUGAAAGCACCAUUCAUAGAACAGUGGGAAUAACAGUUAACUAUUCUAUCAUUAACUAUGAAUUAACUAAGAGCUACAUAAUACUAAACUAGAUUUAACUAUCAACUUUUCUUCCUUCUUUCUAUUUCCAAAAUAUCUCACUUAUAUAGGUGAGAAUUAGGUUAAUAUAUUUAUUAGGCUUACAUGCUAUUGGGCCUCCUAACAGAACACGAUGGAAAAAGGCGUCUGACAGAGACUUUGGUAGAAACAAUUCUUGCUUAUACGUAGAAUAAAAUAUUGACACUUCUCCAACUCAACGGAUAGUGUCUUCUCUUUCUCUACGACCUCACUCUCUAUCUUGGCAAGGUUGGCCUUCCCCGCCUCAACCUCAGCCUUCAAGACGACCACCUCCUUCUUUGCCUCGUCAGCCUCACUUGUGACUAGGUGCAGUUUCUCAUCCAGCGGCCCCAUGGUUUCUAGUGUAGCCUUCAACGAAUUAGAAGAUUCGUUCAGCUCAGCUUUCAGUUUAGCCACCACAGGUCGAGUUUCUCUCCAGCUCUUCUUUCAGUGUUCGGCCGAUUACUAACAAAUGGUUGUGCAACUUGGCCAAUUCCGCACCAAAUCACUUGUGGGACAACCACUAUGCUUUCUUCCUCGGGAGUCAUCGCCACUUGAAUGCCUUGGACCAACUAACGAUGUUGGCCGAGCAUGGAAGGUUGACGAGAGGAGGGUCCAGCCUCAGCACGUUGUUGGGCGGAUUUGGUCGGACGACCUCUCUUCUUCGAGUUUAUUGGGGCACAGUCGUUUUAGGAGGCACCACGUCGACAGGAGGGACUGAGUUUCGCGUCCCAACCAGUUUGAAACUACUUUGUUUUCUCAUGGCUGCUUGUCGUCUUCAUUGUUUAGAUAAUUAGCAGAUUCUGGAUCUACCAGAGACAUGAUUGUUGCAAAACACAAACGAAUUAAACAUCUUGUUAACAUAAUAAAAAAAGGCUAACAUACUUAUAUACUAACAUAUUUUCCUAUAAAUCAGGAUCACGAUGCAUAUAAGUGAAUAACUGAUGUUCAGCCCAUCACAACAAGAGCCCAUAAUUAACACUAUAAAUAAACCCUCUGCGAGGGUGUAAAGGACACUUUUAUUAAUUACAAACAUACACUAUUUACACAUAAUACUUACUUGAUCAUCAUAGUACCUUUUUCAGGUCACCCAAUCGAACAUCAGCAUUUGAGGUAGGAGACUCGAACAAAGAAACAAGAAAAUCAUCGAUACGUCAGCAAUUGUACAACAAUCCCAAGUACUAUAUAGGUCCUCUUUGCCUAUACAGCUAUAUAUACAUUAAAAGAGAAAAUGAUAUAAUUUUUAUUUAUCUUACAAAAUUUGAUAUUUUAGUAAUGUUUAAAAGAUUCAAAAUUUGACAAAAAUUUUGUAUGCCACAUAGAAGUAAUUAUCUGGUUAAUGAUUUGAGAAACUUUUUUUAUUUAAGUUUAUUUACUUUACCAAUGGAUUAAUUAAAUUUUUUUAGAAAUUGAAGUGAAAUUGUGUAAUAUUUGUGGAAGAAGAUAACGUUGACUGAGUCACGUGAGCAACGUGUGAUUUGGUUCCAUACGAAAUCACUCAAUCUACCAAAUAAAUCAUGUACUUCCCUCCACCUCUCCUUUUAAAAAAUUUGACGGUUUUUUAAAUGGUUUUUCUUAAGACUCGAUAAUCCAGCCUCGUGUAGAUCCAUAACAAUGUUAGUAUAUACCUGACUGGUCCAGCUACCGUCAAUUCUGCAUCCUCGACGUACCUCUUGAAUCAUUGAAUUUAGAAGAAUUGGGUCCAUCUCUAUCGUCUACUUAGUGAACUCUCGAUUACCACCUGAUAAAUUUGGAGCAACAUUCUUUCCGCGAUCCAUCUAAUUUACUUAAAUAAAGUUAGGAUGACAAACAUUGGAAGAAAACAUAAAAUAUAUUAUUUCAUCAAAUUAAUUGUUUACAUAAUCUUCCCACAUUUUGUUUGCUAUAGUGUCCCUAAUAUGACACCCUACCCUAUAAUCAUGCUCACGAGCAUGGGUAGGGGUUGAUUGUACAUCUUCUUAUAACAAUUCAUGAUCUACUUCUUCAAUCAGAGACUCAUCAUUGUCGACCCCGCAAAGAAAGUUAUGUAGAAUACAACAAGCUAAAACAAUUUUUGGCACAGUAUUGGCAUCAUAAUGUGGCUCAGUCCCACUUGCUAUAAUUGGAAAUCGUUUUUUCAACACCCCAAAUGUUCUCUCAAUUACAUUUCUAAGUGAUGAAUGUCGAAGAUUCAACAACUCUUUAGCAUUUUGUGACCGUCUUCGCAAAUAUUCUUUCAAAUGAUAUCUAACCCCGCGAUAAGGUGUUAUUAUAUUUGGUUUUAACAUAAAACCUGCAUCACCAAGAUAGUAUUUUCCUUCAAAGAUUGUGGAAAGUUGUGUUAGUAUAUACUACUAUAACCUAUUCAUUGUUGUGCACACCCAAUCUCCUAAAACUAACCUCCUGGAAUAACCAAAGAAUCGUCUCGUACCAAAGCGUCUUUCAAUAUCCUUGAAUCUGAGGUAGUUCCUUCCCAACCGGUUAGGACAUAUGUGAACUUCAUGUCAAAGUCACAAGCUGCAAAUAUGUUUUGGGUUGGCCAAUCUUUUCUCCCUCGAAAAUGAGGUGCAGCACGUGCAACCUUAACAUGUACAUGAGUCUCAUCUAUGGCCCCUAAACAAUCUUAAUGUAAACCAAAUUUCAUUACUUUAAUUAAACAUAAAAUAAAUAAAACAUUAUACAUGAUUUAAAAUAAUAUUAUCAUAAACAAACCUUAAAGUAAGGGUAAAAUCGAUUGUUGUUAAGGAUGUGCGAUUCUACAAGCGUUCCAUUUGGUUGAAUUAAAAAUUCCCCCUUCAACCUUAAAAUUGCAUUCAAAAAAUUAUGAAAGUGACGGGAAACUAUUUCUUCAAACCGAUGGAAAAAGAAUGACACACUUCAAUUCUUUACAUUAUGCCCAAUAAUGUGCAGAAAUUUCGCAAUUUGUUCUUCCACAGUUGAUCGAUAUGCAUCUUUAACAAGUCCAGUUCCCCGUAUUCGUUGACAUAAUUGAAGGAAAGCUUUCGGUCCCAUGCGAAUAAUAUCACGGCAUUUUUCAGUGUGAACCAAGUACUCCAUCAAUUCUUGUCUACGACACUCUUUUUGUGGUUGGAACUCAAUCAUAGAGUUGCUUCUAGUACGCACCGUGCAUAACAAAUUCAAUCUGAAACCAAUCAUACAAAGGAUCAUCACUGAUGCACCUUCACUAUUUUUCUUAAUUUUUUCUUGGAUUUGUGAAAAUAAAUUCAUGUUCGCCGCAACAAGAUCGUCAUAAAUUGCAACCGUUUUUUCAAAAUGUACCAUCUCUGCCUUGCCAAAUUCAUAAUGUUAUCCAUGUAAUCUUGAACUUUCAUCCACAACCAUGAUACGGUUACCGUUUCGGUGGGUGCAAAACUACACCAGCUCAGUAACCCUAAAACCUAAUUUGCAUUCAUUUUAAUAAAAAAAAUUAUUGUAAAUAAUUUUAUCAUUCAUUUCUGUAAUAUAACAAAAAUAAUAUAAAUAUAUACACAAAUUAAAUUUGUCAAUAUUAUAAUUUAAUCAAACUACAAAUAAAUAUAAACAAACAAAAUUAACAAUUACAUCAAAUUAAAUAACAAUAAUAAGUACGUCAUUAUCAAAUUAAUUAACUAUAAUAACAAUAAAAGAGAAAAAAACCGUAAACAUUAAAAAUUUCUAUUUCCAUUCUGUAAAAAGUAUAUUUUUAAAAUAAAUAAAUCUAUUUUAAUAAACAAUUAAAUGUUAAAAAAAUAAGAACUAUCUACAUAUAUUAUUAAAAAUUCUAAUUUCUACUCCAAACUUUUUUUUUUUAAUUACUACAACAUUUUGUAUAAUUUUUUAAUGAUCACAUUAAUACUUUAUGUAAAAUCUAAAAAAUAAACCUAAACAUUAUAAAUUUUUAUUUCCAUUAUGUGAAAAUAUUAAUUUUAAUAAAAAUUUCUAAUUUUUAUAAAGAAUUAACGUACACAAGAUAAUAACUAUCUACAUUUGUUAUUAAAAAAUCAAAUUUCUUCUUUCCUGCUUUUUUUAAUUACUACAACAAUUUGUAUAAUUUUUUUAAUUAUAACAUUAAUAAUUUAUGUCAAAUAUAAAAAAAAACCUACAAAUUACAAAUUUUUAUUUUCAUUCUGUAAAGAUAUUCCUUCUAAAUAAAUAAAUAUAUUUUUUAUAAAGAAUUAAAUGUUUAAAAAAUAAUAAAUAUCUACAUUUAUUAAAAAUUCAAAUUUAUUCUCUAAACUUUUUCUAUUUUUUUAAUUACUAUAACAUUUUUUAUAAUCUUUUUAAUUAUAAGAUUAUUAAUUUAUGUAAAAUCUAAAAGAAAAAAACCCUAAACAUUAAAUAUUUCUAUUUCAAUUCUGUAAAAAUAUAUUUUUAAAAUAAAUAAAUCUAUUUUUUAUAAACAAUUAAAUGUUAAAAAAUAAAAACUAUAUACAUAUAUUAUUAAAAAUUAAAAUUUCUUCUUUAAACUUUUUUAUGUUUUUUUAAUUACUAGAACAUUUUUUAUAAUCUUUUUAAUUAUAAGAUUAAUAAUUUAUGUUAAAUUUAAAAGAAAAAAACCCUACACAUUAAAAAUUUAUAUUUCCAUUCUGUAAAAAUAUAUUUUUAAAACAAAUAAAUCUAUUUUUAAUAAAUAAUUAAAUGUUAAAAAAACAAGAACUGUCUACGUAUAUUAUUAAAAAUUCAAAUUUCUUCUCUAAACUUUUUCUGUUUUUUUAAUUACUAGAACAUUUUUUAUAAUCUUUUUAAUUAUAAGAUUAAUAAUUUAUAUCAAAUCUAAAAGAAAAAAAUCCUAAACAUUAAAAACUUUAUUUCCAUUCAGUACAAAUAUAUUUUUAAAAUAAAUAAAUCAAUUUUUAAUAAACAAUUAAAUGUUAAAAGAAUAAGAACUAUCUACAUAGAUUAUUAAAAAUUCUAAUUUCUUCUCUAAACUUUUUUUUUUAAUUACUACAACAUUUUGUAUAAUGCUUUUAAUGAUAAUAUUAAUACGUUAUGUAAAAAAAAAACUAAACAUUAUAAAUUUUUAUUUCCAUUCUGUGAAAAUAUUAAUUUUAAAUAAAAAAUUCUAAUUUUUAUAAAGAAUUAACACGUACACAAAAUAAUAACUAUCUACAUUUAUUAUUAAAAAAUCAAAUUUCUUCUCUGCUGCAUUUUUUUAUUUACUAUAAUGUUUUUAAUUAUAACAUUAAUAAUUUAUGUUAAAUAUAAAAAGAACCCUAAAAAUUACAAAUUUUUAUUUCCAUUAUGUAAAGAUAUCCAUUUUAAAUAAAUAAAUAUAUUUUUAUAAAGAAUUAAAUAUUUAAAAAAUAAUAACUAUCUACAUUAUUAAAAAUUCAAAUUUCUUAUCUAAACUUUUUCUGCUUUCUUUAGUUACUACAUCAUUUAUUUUAAUUUUUUAAUUUAUAAGAUUAAUAAUUUAUGUAAAAUGUAAAAAUAAAAACCCUACACGUUACAAAUUUCAAUUUCCAUUUUGUAAAAAUAUUCAUUUAAAUAAAUAAAUAUUUUUCUUAUAAACAUUUAAAUGUUAAAAAAAUAAUAACUAUCUACACAUAUUAUUUAAAAUUAAAAAAAAUUUCAUUAAAUACAAUAAUAAAUGACAUAAAUAACUUAGCAGGGAAAAUUAAUUUACUAACUUAUUAACAUAAAUAACUACUCUAAACCCUAAAUAAAUUAAAUUACAAAACCAUAAUACUAAAAAACUAAUAUAAAUCUAAACCAAAAAUUUAAAACACAAACCAAAAAUACAUAUAAAAAUAAAAUAAAAAAAACCUAAACAAAAGUAGAAGAAGAUCAAUUCAACUAGGAUGAACAAGAGCACCGCAAGAACACACUACAAAGUUGUGCCUAAAAAAAACAAAAAUAAGCAACACGAAAAUUAAAAAAAUCUAGAAAAAAAUUUAACAUGACCGACUAUCCCCUGCCUUAUAAAAACAACAUAAUCGAUUAUCCAAAGAAUUCAGAGACAUAAUUGAUUAUUUCUACAAAUAAAAAACCCACAUAAUUGAUUAAUCAAACACAUAAUCGAUUACCCUCACUUUUACACAGAUAACAUAAUCGAUUAUGCUCGACAAAAAGAUAUUUUAAACCAUAAUCGAUUAUGCACUCAGUUCUUUUUCAAUCAUAAUCGAUUAUCUGCAAUACAAAACCAAGUCAAUGCGAACCUCAGCUCAAACAACCACUGCAAAACUCACCCCAUUCUACUAUGAUGCCUCACAAACCUCUCCAAGGCUAGUCUACCAAUUCACAAGUCUGUGAACAUACUUUGAGUUUCUUUCACUGAAUUCUGAAGUUUCAAAGCACUGUGUUAACAUAUUUAGUUUUCUGUUUUAAGUUAUUGGGCUUUGUUUGUUUGGCCCCACUUUCCUUUUUAGUUUCAGCUAGGUCUUAGUCUUUUUCUUAUAUAUACAUCGUGUAUUUUACUCUCUAAUACACAAGUAAAUAAGAAUUUCUUUUGUAUUUUCUUUUCUCUGUUCUUCUCUCUUUUACGCUUGAGUCAUUAUCUCUUUUUUCAUUUGCAAUUAAGGUUCAUCAGAACCUUCCUUUCUCCAUUGUGAUUACGUGAGCUCCAUUUGAUGCACCACAUCAGACAAGGAAUGUUCAUCUUCAUUGGUUGUAAUAUGGUAUCAAAGCUCUUCAAAUGAAGAGAUAUGUUGCGCUUCUCUCUUAUCUUUAUUUCCCCUUUUGCUGUUUUUGGUUAUCUUUUUUGUUCUCUUUCAAAAUCUUCAUUGGUUUCAAAAUCUCUUAGGCAAUGUCUAAUAAAAACCCUAGUCUUCAUAGUCUUAACAGACUAUUACAUGCAAUUUAUGUGGUAAAUACGAUCAUACUGAGAUUUCCUUCUCGUAAUGUUAAAACCUCAAAGUUUUCUUCUACUAAAAAAGUCUGCACUUUUUGUAAUCGCCUUGGCCACACUGUCGACACCUGUUAUAAAAUGCAUGGGUUCCCUCCUAGCUACAAAUUCACCAAUUGGACAUCCCAAGCCAAUAAUAUGAUUACUACUAACAUUUUUUCUGAGUUUUUUCCUAAAUAACAGGAUGUAAAGAGGAUCCUGCCCCUCACACUCAAAUUAAUCAAGUCGGCACCUUCUCUGGGGAUUAAAUCCCUAAUACUGAGCAAUCUUCAACAGGUAAGUUUCUCUCUUCACUAUAUGCUAUAAAAGAAUCUUGGAUAUUGAUUCUGGUACCACAGAUCAUGUUUGCCACAAUUUAAGCGUUUUUACUACUUGCACUAAAAUUAAACCUGUCUUAAAACUCACACACCAACUUAAAGGCAUUUUAACUUUCACUUCAACUUACUCCAUUUUACAGGACACUCUCACCCAAGAGAGGAUUGGUAGUUAAAGCCAUUGUUGGCUUGUACCUUGUCACUACCUUGCCUACUUCUAGUCGUUCUAAACCGCAUUGUUUUGCUCCUUUUAUUAAUUAUAAUAUCACGGACAAAACACUGUGCCACUAUAGACUGGAACACCCUUCACUUGAAAGAUUACAUGUCUUAAGCAAACAAUACUCUUUUAUCAUUGUUGAUACUCAUCAUGUAUGUGCACUUGUAGUCGUGCAAAACAGAGAAAACUUCCUUUCACUUUAAGUAAUAUUGUUACCUUUGCUAUUUUUUAUUUUGUACACUUUGAUAUUUGGGGACCCUGUUCCAUAAUUUCUAUACAAGGUUUUCAUUAUUUCUUUACUAUUGUUGAUGAUUACUCGCAUUAUACUUGGGUUAUUCUGUUGCAUAACAAAUCUGAAAUGCGUCAGCACAUCAUUAACUUCACUGUUUUCGUUCAAAAUCAUUUCAAAAUUAAUAUCAAAACGAUUCGUACUGACAAUGGUGUUGAGUUUGCUAUGUCAAAUUUUUAUGCUUCAAAGGGAAUUAUGCAUAAAAAAAUCUUGUGUUGAAACACCACAACAAAAUGGCGUUGUAGAACGUAAACAUCAACGCAUACUAAAUGUAACUCGGACUUUACUUUUUCAAGCAAAUUUUCCUUCUAUUUUGUGGGAAUUUGAUAUAAAUCAUGUUGUUUUCUUAAUAAAUGUUAUUCCUACUCCGUUACUUAAUAACAUCACUCCUCAGGAAAAGUUGUUUGGAAAACCGUAUGAUAUUUCAUUUUUAAAAGCGUUUGGUUGUCUCUAUUAUGCUAGUACCAUUACUGCACAUAGGAAAAAAUUAUAUGAUAGAUCUAUCAAAGGUAUUUUUCUUGGCUUCCUGCAAAAUACAAAAGGUUAUAUUAUCUUAAAUUUAAAGUUUAAUAGCAUAGAGAUAUCAAGAGAUGUAAUCUUUCAUGAAAACCACUUUCCAUAUAAAUUGGACAGUUGUUUGCCUAAGGACCCCAACACUUUAUCUCUCCCUAUUUCUAACGCAUAUAAUUCUGCUUUUGAUUUAUUUUCUGAUACUGCACCUCCUGCCGAGCCAUGUGCCUCUACUCCUGCACCCAAUAAUGUCCCUACACCAGCCUCAUUAUCCUCUGAUCUUCCAGCAAAUAGUGCCUCUACUCCUGCAUCCAACACUGCACCUCCACCAGCAUUAUCACUGCUUGCACCUCCAGGAAGCACCUCACCCCAAUUUCAAGAGAUCAGCUCGUCCUCACCGACAACCUGCCUAUCUUGUCGAUUUCCACACUGCAACCAACACUGUAAGUCGUAUAUCCUAUUCAUAAUUACUUGUCUUACAAUUCCCUAUCUUCCAAUUUUAGAAAUAUUAUUUUCUCUAUCAACUCUCAUCCUGAAACUCGGACCUAUAACGAAGCCUCAAAACAUGCUUCUUGGCAAUCUGCCAUGCAAGAUGAGCUUCAAGCUCUUGCUACUAAUAAUACUUAGCAACUUACCCCUCUCCCUCCAGGAAAGAAAACCAUUGGUUGUAAAUGGGUAUAUAAAAUCAAAUACCAUUCUGAUGGCACUGUUGAGCACCACAAAGCUAGAGUUGUUGCCAAAGGGUUCACCCAACUUGAAGGACUUGAUUUCUUAGACACUUUUGCACCCGUUGUUAAACUCACUACCCUCCGCCUUCUCCUUGUUGUUGCCACUACCAAAAAUUGGAUUGAAAACAACUUGAUGUCAAUAAUUCCUUUCUUCAUGGUGAUAUUCAUGAAGAGGUAUACAUGACCCCCCACCUGGCUUCUUUCUUCCUUCUCCCCAGCAUGUCUGCAAGCUUCAACGGUCUUUGUAUGGACUUUGUCAAGCUGGUACGUCAAUGGUACGCCAAGCUUUCUACUUUUCUUUUAUCAAAUAAUUACUCUAUUUCUAUUAUUGAUCACUCUCUUUUUCUUAAAUAUAAUAAAGAUAAACUCACUGUUAUUCUUGUUUAUGUUGAUGAUUUGUGUUGAAGAUGGGAGCUUUGAUGUAUCAAAUCCACAUGAAGUUUGAAGUUGUGUUGCUAUCUAGGUUUGGGUUUAGAUUAGGGUGUUUAGAAUCUUUGUAAGAUCAUUCCUUGAAAGCCUACACAAAGCUUGAUUAAAUCUAUUUUAAACAACUAAGUGUUUUUCCCAUGCAAAGGGAAAAAAACCAGUUGAAUUGUCGAGACAAUCAGUUGUUUGUCAUUUAGCUAGCAAUGAGGUUUUGGAACUGUUUUUUGAAUUGGUUAUGAAACUACCUGACUCAUUCAACCGAUUAAAUCGUGGUUUCAACCGGUUAAAUGUGUGUUGUCAUAAUAGUUUUUUGAAAACCUAUUUGAACUGUUUUAAAUGAGAACAAAACUGAUUUGACUCUGUUAUAUUGCCUAAACGGCUAGAUUUCAAAUGCUAUAAAUAUAACCUUCUUUCAAAUGUUUUAGACAGAAGUUUUACACUCUUACUUGAGAUUAAAAAGAGAGAUUACAAUCUGUUUUUGAAAGAAGUUUUCCAAUAUUAGCAAGAUUGCUUUUAAGCUUUGUUGUGGUGCAAAGAACUAGUCAUAGAGCUUCUGGUUUUCUGUAACUUCAGGUGUUUUCUACCCUUACUUAGUUUUUUGUAAUUGUAUUCUGAUAUUGCAAACGUGUAUGUAAAAUCCUGUAAAGUCAGUGUGAUUCUGGCUUGAGGUGUGUGUUGGUGCAAAGAGGGUGAGUAGGCUUUAUGGGAUUCAAAGUCACCUAUGUGUGGUGUGUUAUUGUAAUUUGUGAUUGAUUACAUAGUGAAAUACUCAAAGGUUGUUCUGAGGACUAGAUGUAGCUCAAGGUUGAGUUAAUUAGUAUACUCUGAUUGUGUGAAUCUCUAUAUCUCUCUCUUUAUCAUAAUUUGUUUGAUAUUUUCGCUGUUAUAAACAACCUAAUAAAUCGUCACUUUAACCGGUUGAAAUUCUUAUAACUGUUUGUUGGAUUGUUUGAUUGCCUUCCUUAAGCGUUUAUCUGAAUUGUUUGUUAAGGAUUCAUUCUGAAGCAAGUAUUUGCGAAAAUCAUUGAUAAAACAAUUCACCCUCAUCUUGUUUAAGCCAUCAAUUCUAACAAUUUGGUCUUAACUGGUGAUGACACGGAGGAAACCAAUACAAUUACUGCAUCCCUUCACCUUCACUUCAAGAUAAAAAAUUUAGGCCAUCUCACUUACUUUUUGGGACUGGAAAUUGCUCUCAACAAUUUUGGUCUUCAUUUAAGUCAACGCAAGUAUACUCUUGAUCUUCUUCACGAAAUUGGCAUGCUUGAGUCUACACAUGUGGCCACUCCUAUGACUCACACCUCCCGUCUCUCUCCCGACCAAGGCUCCCUCUUGAUGCUAAUGCCACUUCCUAAUACAGAAGACUCCCUGAACGUCUAAUCUACUUAACCAACACGCGACCAAACAUCACCUUCGUUGUCCACAAUUUAAGCCAAUUCAUAUUUGCACCCACAACUCAUCAUUAACAAGUUGUCUCACGUCUUUUGCGUUACCCUCAAGGGCACCCCUGGUGAAGGACUAUAUUUUUCUCAUACUAGCUCACUUCACCUCUAUGGUUUUAGUGACUCUGACUGGGCAACAUGUCCUACCACACGCAAAUCUGUCACUAGAUAUUCCAUCUACUUAGGAGACUCCCUAAUAUCAUGGAAAUCAAAGAAGCAGUCACUAUCUCCCGCAGCUCCUCCGAAGCCGAGUAUAGAGCCCUUGCCACCACCACAAGUGAGCUACAAUGGUUGUCUUACCUCCUUCAGGAUUUACAUCUUCCUCUCUCCCAGCUGCAACCCUGUACUGUGACAACAAAUUUGCCUUUCAAAUAGCGUUCAAUCAAGUCUUUCAUGAACACACCAAGCACAUCAAAAUUGAUUGUCGCCUAGUUCGUGAAAAACUUAACUUUUGUCUCUUCAAAUUGUUGCCCAUUACUUUUGCCAUGCAAGUUGCUGACGUAUUCACCAAGACCCUUUCUUCCGCAGAGUUCUCUACUCUCAAAUCCAAGUUAGACCUGACGAAUACCUACUCCCUAGCUUGAGGAGGGUGUUAACAUAUUUAGUUUUUCUGUUUUAAGUUAUUGGGUUUUGUUUGUUUGGCCCUACUUUCCUUUUUUGUUUCAGCUAGGUCUUAGUCUUUUUCUUAUAUAUACAAAAUGUAUUUUACUCUCUAAUACAUAAGUAAAUAAGAAUUUCUUUUGUAUUUUCUUUUCUCUGCUUUUCUCUCUUUUACGAUUGAGUCGUUGUCUCUUUUUCAUUUGCAAUUAGGGUUCAUCAGAACUUCCCUUUCUCCAUUGCGAUUACGUGCGCUCCAUUUGAUGCACCACAUCAGACAAGGAAUAUUCAUCUUGAUUGACUGUAAUACACUUCUUUUAUAUACAACAGAAACAACAAUUAAUAGGCACCAUCUACUUCACCCGCUGCAUUCAUGUCAUUGAAAUGGACUCUGUGGCCAAAUGAUUCCUAACCCAAAGUCAGGAAUCUCAUGUCAUGCCCAAACAAUGCAAAACUGCAUGGCAGUGGUUCUUUGUUGUUGCAUGAAGGCACGGUCGUUAAGAAUGAAUGAAGAAAAUGAAGGAUACAUAGGUAAGUUCUCAUGUGUGACGUGACUUUCCCUUCAAUACUAUCUUAUUUCUCUUCAUUCCUCACAUGAACCACAACACCCUUUACUUUCUCUCCAUCUCAUCCCUCACCCGCAUGCAACCAUGAAACCAAACGGGGUAACACUCAACAUCCGUCGUCGACAACAGUACCACCCGAGAUCCAAACAGAGUUACUAAUGUGUAUUAUAAAUACCACGAAAAUACACUUCAAUAACAAAAAAUAUUUAAAUUUUUCAUCUAGACACGUGUUCAGGAUAUGUCUAAUUAAAAACAGUUAAUUAUAUUAUAAUAACUACUAUUAUUAUUAUAGUGAGAAAAGAGAGAUAUUUGUGGGCACUAGGGUUUUGAAUUGAGUCUUGUCGUUUUCUUUUGGUUUUUGUUGUCAUUCUCCGUUCUCCACCCAGCAAUAACCAAUUACACAUUAUUUAUAUAUUUCAAUUUUGAUUUCGCAGAUCACUUUUGUGUUUUUUGUUUUUUAUGAUUAUUUGAUAUGAUCAUAUGAUGUCAAGUUUGGGAAAGUUUUUGUCAACGAAUUGCCCAUUCCCAUGGUUUCUAAAUUUUAUCCAAUAAAUGUGAAUAUCUGCACCAUUCUCUCUGCAUUUUUUAUUUCACCUCAAUUAUUUGUUAUGGACUAGUAAUUUGUGCAAAAUUCGAUUUGGAGCUCUGGGUGGUUGGCAGGCAUUUUCCAACACAACAUGGUUCCUAAUCCGAGGCCCAAGUUGUUUGUUCCAUUCUUCAUGUUACUGCUAAUGCUUCUUUCCUUUGGUUUUUCCAAUGCUGAAUUGGAACAGAAGCUUAGAGCUGCUCCACAUAAGAAGGUGAUUGGUGGCACUGGUGUGGAGAAUUCCCUCAAGAUAGAGGAAAUCAAUGGCAAAAAAGGUGGAGGCAGUAGUAGAGUUUCGGUUUCCACGGUUGCAUUGUUCACGUUAGCAAUGGCAGCUGCCACUGGUUUAGGUGCUCUGCCCUUCUUCUUUGUGGAGCUUGAUCCACAAUGGGCAGGGUUGUGCAAUGGAAUGGCAGCUGGUGUCAUGUUGACUGCAAGCUUUGAUCUCAUACAGGAAGGUCAAUAUUAUGGUGCUGGAAAUUGGGUUGUCAUUGGGAUUCUAGCUGGUGCCAUCUUUAUUUGGUUGUGUAAGAAGGUAGUUACCGUACCACUAUCUUUCUUAACUGCUGCUUCUAUAGGCAAACAUUUCUUUCUCUUAAUCCUUGUUACGGUAAUUUGUAAAGAAUUUUGAUUUCCUAUUUGACCCACUUGUUUAUGCUUCAUAAAUAAGAAAUGCCUUAAGGCUGCAGAACGUUUUGGUAGUAAAUGUAGCACUACUAAAAAACAAUAUAAAUGGUUAAACUCUUGGGCAGUAUGAAUUAUAUCUACUCUGGCUCGUCCUUUACUGUUUUCUUGGGGGAGGAAUAACCCAGCUGUGAAAUUCUCGUGUUUCUUGGAAUUUCUAAUCUGAAAAAUGGUUUGCGUGCCUUGUUAGAAGGCAUGAAUAACAAUUUUAAGUGAUCCUUGCACUUUGAAGGAUUUGAUAAGAUGGUUAUUUUGUUGUUACAUAGUUUUCAUUUUAAGUAGGUUUAUCACGGUCUCGUUUGUGCCUCACAUAACCGAUUGUAUUUCAGUUACUUGAGCAAUAUGGGGAAGUAAGCAUGUUGGACAUAAAGGGUGCUGAUGCAACCAAAGUUGUUCUUGUAAUUGGAAUAAUGACUCUCCAUUCUUUUGGGGAAGGAUCUGGGGUUGGGGUCUCCUUUGCUGGCUCAAAGGGUUUCUCUCAAGGCUUAUUGAUAACUUUGGCUAUUGCUGUACAUAACAUUCCAGAGGGAUUGGCUGUGAGCAUGGUGCUGGCAUCAAGGGGUGUCUCUCCACAGAAGGCUAUGUUGUGGAGCGUUAUUACAUCUUUACCUCAGGUACAUAUUAAUCUGAAAGUUAAAUCAUUAUUACAUUGUGAAGGGGAAAAUAUUAUGAACUUAGUCAUGACAUCAGCUUGAAUUUUGAAGAGUUUCUGUUUUGAAAUUGAUAGUAAAUAGUUUGUCCCAUCAGCCUGUUGCGAGAAGUCUUUUUGUUUUCUGUAAUUGAGAUAUAGUAUGUUAAUAUUAUGCAUAGGAGUAUGUUUGGGUGGCUCUUCUCUGUUGCAUGUACAGUAUUUAGGUAUGCUUUAGUUUGAUUCAAACCAGGGUUUAAUAUGUUUAGAUAAGCAAUAAUUGGUUUGUAUAAAAUGGCUGUGUUGUAAUAACAUUUAAUAAUAGUUUGCUUGUACAGCUUAUUUCUUAUGUAGCUAAAAUAGUCUCAGACUAAUUAGGGUUAUCCACCGUUCCAUGGUGGCAACCUAGCAUGAGUGGAUAUUAUGCCGCUGAAACUAGCCUAGAAUAUAACUUUAUAAAACUUUAUCAGUAUGCUUUAUUUGUUGAGUUCAGCAGAAGAAACUUUAUUCUGUUGGAAAUAAUUCUUUACGAUUCUGCUAUAGAUUUUGAAAACUUGUAUCUGAUGUUUCGUCUUUGCCUUUUACCAUCUCAUGCUUGUGUUAAUGCAGCCAAUUGUAGCCGUUCCUUCAUUUAUUUGUGCCGAUGCAUUUAGUAAGUUCCUGCCAUUUUGUACGGGGUUCGCUGCUGGAUGCAUGAUCUGGAUGGUUGUUGCAGAAGUUCUUCCUGAUGCAUUCAAGGUAUGCAUGUCUAUUAAGGGUUUGUUCGAUUGAGAAAAUGUUUUCUGUUUUCAGAUAUAUAAUAUCGUUCCCAUACUUUGGUAUACAGGAAGCCUCUGCUUCACAAGUUGCAUCGGCUGCAACACUUUCGGUAGCAUUUAUGGAAGCUCUAAGCACCCUUUUUCAGAAUUUCAACCGUGACAACAAGUGAGUGUAUAUUAUUUUUAAUCAGCUAUGCAGUAUUCGGUUAGGAAAAUGCUAGUUGCUGCUUGCUAGAUGGCCAAAAUUUUAAUGUCACGAGUUGGCAUUACUGUUGAUUCUUGGAUGGAUGAGUACUAUCUAUUCUAAUCCAAAUAACUAGCUUUUAAUCUAGUUGAAUUUAGUCAUAUUUGGCGGUCUUUUCAAGUGUGUAGGCAUUACUCACUCAGUUUUAUUACUUGAAUGAUAUGAUACUAUUAAAUCUCAUUUCUCAAGUUGGUUGAUUUUGUUGCACAAAUUGAAAGAUCAGAAAUGUUUCAGCUUUUUGAGUAUUGGCUUGAAAACAUUUUGCAUUCCCCACCAACUCUACCACGCAACUCACUUUUGUUAUCUUAAUAUUUUUUGUUACAGCUCUGAGGAUGCUUCUGGCUUCUUUGUUUCAUUGCUUUUUGGCCUUGGCCCAUUACUUGGUGGAAUUAUUUUGGUUGUAUUUGCUCUUGCUCUUCGUCUUCGGCAUGCUAUCCUGAUGGGCAUAGCAUGUGGUAUUGCCUUUGUUCUUGGUGCCUGGCGACCUGUGCAGCUUAUUUUGUCUUCAAAAUUAGGAUUUGUUCCUGUUGUGUUACUCCUUGCAAUGGGCGCUGCUUUAGUCCAUGUUUCCAGCUCUGGGGUAUUGAAGGUGGCAGCUCGCAAGAAAAACUCAGUCAAUGACUUGCCUACAUUAACAAACUUCCCUGUGAGUGUUCAAACCUUUCAAUCAUUUGUAUCAUGUGGAGCAGUUGCUCUACAUGCUUUGGCUGAAGGACUUGCGCUUGGAGUAGCUGCACCAAAAGCUUAUGGAUUUGGUCGUCACAUGGUCCUUCCAGUCUCUCUACAUGGUCUCCCUCGAGGUGCUGCUGUUGCUAGCUGCAUCUAUGGUGCUACUGAUAGUUGGCACGGUUCUCUUGCAACAGCUGCCAUAAUUGGAUUUAUGGGUCCAAUAUCAGCAAUUGGAUCUAUUCUUGCUGGGAUUGGCUACAGUGGCCUUGAUCACAUAAUGGUCCUGGCUUGUGGUGGAAUAAUUCUAAGUUUUGGAAACGUAGUUAAGAGAGCACUUAGCUUGGACAAGAAAAAGAGCACAUGUGGCCUCGUUAUGGGAAUUGGGUUUGCUACCUUAUGCCUAUCGUUCACUAAAUUAGUUUGCUUGAACACACCUUACUGCAAUUCUGCACCGGAGGCCGUCAGGUAAAAAGAUUGAGCUGCAUUUCCUGCAUCCUCAAUUAUUAUCUGCUUACAUAAGUAGUACAUAUGUUUCUAUAGUUUGUUCUCCCAACACAUGUUGCAUAAUUUUGAAGAAUUCGGAGAAAUUGUAAAAAGUGAUUGAUUCUUUUGUACCUUAAAAAACAUCACAGAUUCUUGCACCUUAAAAAAAUCAAGUUACAAGCGAGACUUGAUAUUUUUUGAAGUGUAGGAAGAAAUGUCCAAAGGAAAACCUGGACACAAGAUAUACAGUGACACUUCAUACACAACAUUUAAUAUAGAAUGUAUCAUGCACCAUAUAAAUUGCUUGGCCAUGUAGAACUGAUCAGAUUCUUUUUCCUCAUUUGAGCCAAAUAGAGCCGACAUUUCACUUCUGCUGGUAGCCCUUUAAUCUUUGUCUUAAACUAGCAUGUUGCGAGUUGCUUAGAGUUUCCUUUGCAUGUUUCCCUUCUGUUAAGGAAAUUCUAUAAAGUAAAACUUUCUUAUUGGCAAAAAUUACCCUAUUAAAGUAGCAAACAAUUAUAGAAAUUAGUUGAUCUGUUGAUAUAUGAAUUCAAUUUCGUUGACUUGUACUUGUCAAAUCUCGUUCUAUAGUCUGAUUGGGUCACCACGGAUCCUAUAGGAUUUAAAAAGAAGGUUUAGUUGCUGAUUGGUGGUGGUAGUCCCUGGCUACUAGCUUGCUUUAAAUGUAAUGUACGUCCACAUCAGUACAAGUCCCACCAGCAUGUUAUGUGAGUUUGAAAAAGGAUGGCGAUCUCACGUAAAACAAAAUGAUUCGAUUUAUAAUGAUCAUGUAACGUAACAGUAUCUUAUCACAGUUCUUAAAUUUUCCAUUUCACAUUUUUCUACCUCUCAACAACAAUUGCAAGACCAAAUGUCAAUGGCUGCACCUUGUCAAAGGUACAAAUCUCAAGGCCAUAUUUUGUGCUGGCUGCAGCAAUGUUAAGAUAAGUAGAGAAAGCAGAUAAUAUUGUUGGCAUUGUAUCAUUAGUUAAAAUAUAUUAAAAAUUAUAAAACCAUUGAAUAAGAUGUAAAAACUAUAUAUAAAUGUUCAAGAAAGACUUUUCACUGAUAGAGAAUGGUUUUAAAGCAUUUAUGGUGAUGCAACAGUAGUAUUUAAUUUGAAGGUCAGAAAUGAAAGUAGCUGAUAUAAUAAUAAACAGAGCAUGUUAUAUUGUUCUCUAGGCAAACAUAAUUUAUAAGCACUCCAAAGUUAAAAGAAAAAGAAAAGAUGAAACUCGUGAUAAUGAGUUGUGGUGAAGAUCCUAUUUGGGUUGAGGAACAGAAAGAGCCUGAGAGCCGGUUAACCUUGCCAACAUGACAAAGGUCAUCCCUCCGACAACAUUGUUGGACAGUCUGAGAGCCAAAACAGAGGACUUGAACACCAAAGGAGAAACGCACUUCUCCAACAGAAACUCCAAGCCAUUAAGACUCUGGUACCUCAAAUUGCUGCUCACACCCAUGUGCGCCGCCCAAGUAAGCGCGUUGAGAAGCGUAGGAGGAGCCUUGUUCGGGGACUGGAACGUGGGGUCCACCCUCUUCCUCACCGCGAUCAGCCCGUUCGAAACGGCAGUCCCGGCAAGGCCAGCGGCCAGCCCCACCAGCGCAAACAAUCCUCCCUUGUACACCAGAGUCCCACACCGCUCCACUAUUCCGUAGGGACCAGGUUCGAACAUGUGGCUGCUGGGACACGUGGCGAACAACCAAGGAAGGGUGGAAGACGAGGACAAGGUGGGCGCCAAGAGAUACAUCAGGAUGAAAUUCAGAAUGGACCCCACCACCAGAGUGGAGAACACGAAGUCCAGUUCGUUCAGUCCGAAGUUGGGGCGUGUCGCCAUGUCGCCGAUAACCGCCGCACUCACACCCACCAACUCCUCCAUCAAAACCUUGAAAGGGAAUUGUGGGUCCGCCGCCACCCUCAAUCUCCAUCCGUUUAAAAACAUCCCCAGAACCCCAAAUCCCACGCUUUCGCCGUCCGAGUCUCCGCCUCCUCCCCCGCCGCUGCCUCCUCUGGCUCCACCGCCGAUGUCGCCGCCGGAGAACGAAAGGUGCAGCCUUUGGCUGCGGGGGUGGCGCGGAGACGGGAAGGAAAAGGUGGACUGGUAGUUGUAAUGGUAAUGGUAGCGGUGAUGAGAGUAGAGAGGUGAGAAACGGAAUUGGGCCAUGGCUUGCGCUGCCAUUGCCAUUUUUUUAUUUGAAGUUGCUACUCUGUGUGAAAGAAGGGAGACUGAGAGUGAAAAAUGGAAAGAAGUAUUGGGAGUGAAGAAGAUAAUAUGUAGGUGGGCAAAACAAGUGGUGGAGGGAUAUGCGAAAAAAAUGAGUUUUGGAAGAAUCUCAAACGUUGGAAAGAAACAAAAGAAGAGCUAAUUUUUUGAAAGAGAAAGAAGUGUGUUUGAUUGUGUUGUGAGCUGACACGUGGACUGCCAAUAUCGGACUGAGCUCCACCUCACCAUUUCAUAUCCAGCCAAGAGAAUACAUUUAGCUGCAUUUCUAAUGACAUACUUUGAAGCCUUUUUUUUUUUACUCAAAGUUACUUAUUCCUUAGUUCAUCGUCACAGUCUGAAGGACUUCAGUUCUUAAUCUAUUUCCAUUGAAGAUGGCACAAAGCUAAAACAUUCGCUCAACAAAUAUAAUAUAAUAUUAUAUAAUAUAAUACUGUAUUCUAUAUAAACAAAUAGCAGAGUUUUUCCUUCGCCGAUACAUGGUAUGAUAUCUGAGACAUGACAAUAACAUGUAUCGUCAAUCUGUGACACAGAAUAGAAUACAAAUGCUUGAGACAAACAACUAUAAAGAAUUCAGCCUAUGCAAACUAAUUUGAAUACCAUUGAGACUUGACAUAUCAUGUCAUGUCACAUGCCCACAAAACUUGAUCCACUUAGAGACCUAAAACUUCACCCCAUCACAUGUAUAUCCCAUGCUUCUCACAAGUUACGGACUCAAGAAUAAAUCCAAUAAUAAAUGUAUGAAGUGUGCACCAAAAAAGACUCAUUUGAACACGCCUACUCUCAAUACCCAAUUAUAUUAUCUUCUUUUUUAAUCAUCUUUUUUCUUCUAAAGACCCUUCUUUCUAGCUUUGACUCCUGUUGUUUAACAAGAAAAAUGUAGGAUAAAGGGGAUGUAAAACCACCAGCAAUAAUUGUUAGCCUAUUCUUUCAUAGCUGCUUUGUUUGAGAUGUACUGGAAAACCAUAACACCCAUCUACAAGUAACGAGGAAACCUUUCUUUCAUCGACCAGUUUUGGCUCGUUUCAUUCCACUGGAGUUGAAUGGAGAUACACUUCCACUUGGUCCAGGACUCUCUUCUCUGAAAUUUGAAUUCAGCAUCGCCAAUUCACGCAACUGCUGCCUCUUGAUAUAGUCCUCAGACUCUUCCUGCAUAUCAGAAGUUGGCAACCAAGAGAAGUAAGCAUAAAAAUUUUCACAAGCAAUGUUAAUCAACAAAGAGGUUACCGUGUGGAGGUUUCCAUAUUUCUGAUUUCCAACAAUAAGAUGGUUGUGUCAGGGAAGGUAUUGAAUGGUUUAAAUCACAUGAUGUUCUAAGAUAAAUUUCACUAACUUGCAUCCUGUUUGGCACCACAUCUACCCUCACGUCUUUUACAUGAAUUUUGCAAGUAACAAGGAGUAGCCCUUGUGUUGAAUGUGAGUUGAUACAACUAUAACAUAUUCCUAAAUCUUAACCAAACAUGCACUUAAAUCUGCUAGCUUGAAGUGAUUCCAACAAAAUAUUUCGUGAAAAAGGCAAAGAAGGUAAACCACCCAACCGAAUUCUAAUAAGUCAACUUAGACACCUUUGAAGGUCAAGGCAAACUUUACAGAGAAAAAUGAAAUGGGGAAGGAAAACUUGGAUGACAAACAAAGAGAGUGGUUUAAAAUCUAGUCUAGAAACUGUCGUUAAUCACUUUCAAAGGUAUUAACUAUUCAACUUACAAAAUUAAAAAAAGUAUAAGUUGGUUGUUCCUAUUCUUACUUGGGAAUUUUAAAGCUUUUAAAUGAGUGAACACCUUUUGGCAUCAGUAUGUUAACACACCGAACAGAAGAUGACAACUUUAUUUUAAUAAUAAUAGUAAUAUAUAUAUAUAUAUAUAUACACACACACAUUCAUAAUCCAAUUUAAAAUAUGGAAAAAAAUAUCAUUAAAAUGUCAAUAUAAUUAGUUGUCGAAUGGUUGUUUCCUUGUUAUGAGUUGUCAAGUAUCAAUGCUCCAGAAGAUUAAGACAGUGUGAAGGAACUUACCACAGGUUUGAGCAAUUCUUCUAUAAUUUCCUGAGCCUGUCGGAGCCUAAUGUCAACAAUAUUAGCAGGUAAAUCAGCUUCAAUCAAGAUAUGGAGUGGCUCAUUGAGAUGCUCAUAGCCUGGUCUUCCUCUUAAUUUUUCUUCCUUCAAGAUUGAAAAGAUAAUAAUCUCAGUCAUUACACAAGAAUGAUAUAUAGAUCAAUAAAAAGAAGCAUCAUAUUUAUUUCACAUUUUGCAAUAUUAGACAUGGAAAAUCAUAUCAAGGCCUUCAUUACCUUGUCCGGAUCUUUUAUUGAACCCUUUCCUCUAAUAUACACCCGGCAACCUGUAGAAGCUUCAACCCUUUUUAGAGAAUUGCCCCUGGGUCCCAGAAGCCUUCCAACAAAAUUGAACUAACACAAAAGAAGAGAAAAGAUAAAUUACAACAGUCUGAUAGAGUCAUUAAUUAGCCUUACUAAAUUGGAAUGGAUAUAUGAGAGCUUACAUUGGGGUAUGUAUCAACUGGAAUUUCCAAGCGCAAAAUCCUCUUAACUGUAAAAGAACUAGGACUUGCAGGUGCAACUUGCCAGUCCAUUGUCAUUCCAGGAGUUCCUCGUAACCUCUGUUUAGCAGGGGAAAAGGAAUAACAAUGUCAUUUAUGCACAAAAGCUCAAAUAGAGCAGGAAAAGAACAUGGUGAAGAACAAGAACAAGGGAUAAAGCCUUUUUGUCAUUUAAAAUAAGAAAACCAGAAAAGAAUUAGCAUUCUCAAUCUAGAUAACCACCAAGCAAGGAAAGUUUAGAAGCUAGACAAGAAAAAUGAGACGAAUCAAUUAGAUGACAACUUGUAACAAGGAAAAACAAGCAGUUAUAAGUGUGACAGUCGUGUAACUACUGUAAAGCAUAGUUAUCAGUCUCAGAUAGAAAGGUGUAGCAGCUAGCUUUGAAACACUUUAGUGGAACAACAGGAUGAGUGCACUGUUUUAACUAUUAUAAUACAUACAAACUAAACAAUUUAUACUACACGAAUAAAUACUCAAAAAUGAAAAAUAAAUAAAUAAAUCCAUGAUAAAUAAGUCACAGGUUACAUAUAUAAUCAUAAAAAUCAGCAGAAUGUAAACUGGGAAGUUUAAUUGAAGAAGAAUGAAUGGAACACAGUCGCACAGGUACAUAAGGUAAGAAGGAAAAAGGUGCGGAAUGUUCAAGAAGAAAGGUUUCAAACCCUAUUAUGUUAAUGAACCAAAACAGGCGCUAGAAAAUGAGGAGAAAACACAACUUUUACAAAUGGAUUUUUGAAGUCUCUAUUAUGGUAGUACACUAUCUGACUUCUAUACUAAAGUAUUAUCACAUCGGAAAGUUGAAUGGCAAGGCCAAUGUCACCACACCUCGCUGUUCUGAAAUGGAUCACAGUGAAGAUUGGAUCUGUUCUUUCUUCAAAAAAAAUCAUUUUUCCUCGAGUUGGAAGCACUUAUUUGAUUUUUGCUCCACUCAUCCAUCUUAAAAUAAAAUUCCUUCUAAUUAAUGUACGCAUUUUGUUGCAUGAUAAGCCUUAAUUAUGCUCAUUCCUAGUCCACCUUACUUGUGGUUGCGGUCUCUUUCUGUAGCCUCAACAGUGGUGAUUUAGACCCAUAUAGACUAAAAAUAUGGAUUAUGGGCAGUCCUCACCAUACAAUAUGGUUUAAUUGGACUUAAAGGGUUGAGUUAAGCCCUAAGCCCACUCUCAAAGACAUUUAAACUUCAGCCAUGCCCUUUCAUUCAAUAAUUAAUAUAUGGAGAAAGAAUAAUAGUAUUUUAAUUUUGAAAACUAAAUUCUUGAUGCUCCAAUCUUCAUAGGUGAGAGAAAGAGACAAAUCAUAGUGCUUAUUAUUUAUGAACUAAAGUAGUUAAGGGUAUUUUAAUAAAAAAAAUAAUGCAAGUAAGGAUUAAAAAAGAUAAAGAAAUUUCAAAACAAUUUCUUAUAAUUAGGAACAAAAAGGAGUAAUACCACAUCAUUUAGGGUCUGUUAGGAGGAAUCUUCUCUAUAAGCACUUUUGGGAGAGAAAGAGAAAAAUAAGGAGAAAUGAGAUCAGUUUCUUCCUGGUUUAAAAUUAGCUUAUGUAUGAAUUAAAAAUCAGAUUUUACAAAAGCUAACAAGAAAUAACUUUUACAGAUUAAUCUGUACAUAAGUUAAUUUUAAAUUGUGAAGAAACCAAUUUUAUUGAUCCUUCUUGAUUUUCCUUCCUACAGAAGCUUUUGAAGAAAUUUCUCCGAAGAGAGAAACUCUUGAUGUAAUCACUAUGUAUCACAUGUUCACUUUUCACAUCCAUCCUUAAUAAACAUUUUAGGUACUGUCAAUUCAUUUUUAUGAGGAACCCCGUAAAAUCACUUUUCUCUCUUUUCCACUGCAGUUAGCUCACAUAUAGCUCACAUUUUUCGCUUUUACAAAAUCAGGCUUUACUUUAUUUGACAAAACUACUGCUAAAGGAAUAAGCACAAUAUGUCAUGAGUCGAAUUAAUCUUACCUCGUAAUCCAGGCCAUUGGGCAAACAGUACAUAACAAAAUCUUAGCAUUUUCACAUAUAGAAAUUAAACAAGUAUAUGUGAACAUAUAGAAGUUUUUUACUAGUCAUGUACUAUCUAAAGUGCAAAAGAAAAACUCACAUCUACAUGAACAGAUAAUAGUCAAACUAUGACAAGCAUAAAUUGAGGAUUAAUAAGAUAUGAUUAAUUAGGAGCAUUUUAUCUCUUGUCUCAAUAUUCUGUCCAUGAAUUUAAACAAGGAUCAAAGUAUGGUGGGUGUAAAGAUGGAGGAACAAUUCCAAAACAGUCACCUCUUGCUGAAGACUAUUCCAUCCACCUAACCCCGAUCCAGUGACACUUGACAUGAGGUUUGAAGAAGCCAUUGGACUAGGGCUUCUGUGCCGCAGUCUAUCAAAGUCACCAAAACCUUGAUUUGACAGCAUUCCAGAAACUCUCAAUAUUUCUGCGCAUAGAGAAUCAUUCUAAUCAGGAAGAGCCAUGAUAAAUCAAUCAAUAAAAAAAUAUUUGUAUUCAUAAAGAAAUAGGAUGAAAGAACAGAUAUUGUAAAUGAACAAGAUAAGUCAAGCAAUAAUAAAAAUAUUUGUAUUCAUAAAGAAAUAGGAUGAAAGAACAGAUAUUGUAAAUGAACAAGAUAAGUCAAGCAAUAAUAAAAAUAUUUGUAUUCAUAAAGAAAUAGGAUGAAAGAACAGAUAUUGUAAAUGAACAAGAUAAGUCAAGCAAUAAUAAAAAUAUUUGUAUUUAAAAAAAAAUAGGAUGAAAGAACAGACAUUAUGAAAUAAACGAUGAUAUCAUAUAUCAUAAUUUUUACUCAUCAUUCACCAGUAAUAAACUGGACAAAGACCUUAUCUCCUAAAAGCUUUACACUAUAGGGCAAAGGCACAUAAAGUCCAAUAUUGAGAGAAAGUGUAUGGGAUGUGUAACCAAUGUCAAAGUUUCUCUAAACAAGAUCUACAUCAGUCAAAUUUUUCCAUGUUUUAAAGGUACCAAGGUCAUAGAGUUGUGGGUAAUAAUAUUUAAAAUCCAAUUCAUCUGCUUCAGGCUUUGUGAGGAAAAAUUGUGGUUAAGAAGGGCAUAGUUACUUUCCCCCAGUCUGGAUGUUUAAGUAAGGAAGUAAUGAAGACUACUAGUACACUACCCUUUGGGAGUUGAGACUGAAGUGGAGGGCCCUAGAGCCUCAUCUUGAAUUGCACUAAGUCCCUCCUCAGGGAACUGCUUGAUCACAGGAUUGAACCCCACUAAGGGCUACUGUGAUCUAACCCUGCACCAAAUCUUAGAUCUCUUUAGUAGCCAAAGAAGAAAGAAAAAACUAAAGUACAUGAAAUGAAAAAUGCUUCCCCUUGUCAGUUAAAAACUUUAAAUAAAUUGUUCCCCUGCUUGCCCCCCAGUUUGAGACUGACAGGGGUUAGCAGGGAACACCUCCUCUUCCCUCCUUAUCUUCCAAAUAGGGUUUUCAAAUUUGGUCAGCUUCCCCAUCCUUACCUCUCAUUCAAUCCAAGCAUAUGAAGAUAUAUUUCCAACUUGUCAAAUCAGAUACCACGCCAAAUACUUCAAACACAAAAAAAAUCAGUUUCUUAUGCAGAACACUAUAAACAGGGUUCUAUUGGAAGGAUCUUCUCAUAAACCCAACAACACACACGAUUCAGAUCCCUAACCUCAUAAUCGGAGAGUAAGCUUAUUGGCAUCACAGUAUGAAUCAAACACUUUACUUUACAUUGACAGAGCAGAAGCUCUAGAAAGUGAAAAGCAUGAAGAAGACACAUUGGGCGAAAGACACAAUCUUGAGGGGCAAUUGGGGGUUUUAAAUUUGCAAUAGAGUUACAGAGAGAGAUGCAAAGUUGGAAGUGAAGUGAGAAGAAAAGGGCGAUCUAUAGAUCUCGAGAAGAAAGGAAACCUUGAUUCAAGAGACGAGUGCAAAUGGGAAGGGCUUGCAUGAAAGGACCAAGCUUCUGAUGCUCUGCCAGCAACUCCGUAAGGUACUGACUGAAAAAGUGAAAGCAAAAGCAAAAGCAGAAGGAAGUGAGUUGAGGGGUAGUUGAAGCAAUCCAGUUGAAGUGGUGAAGUUGAAGAAGAGUACCUGUCAACUUCUGGGUUGGUUCUAAUCUGAGGAGAAGCAGCUCUGACCGGAGAGAAGUUGGAAUUGUAGAGACCAGACAUGGCUAAACCUAAACCUAAACCUUGGAUUGUGGCAGAGAGAGCAGCCGCAGGUUUAGUUUAGUUUAGUGUCGUGAAACAACGUUUGCUGUUGCUGGAUGGACAACUAUCUCAAUUUCACACCCAACAAAUCAUUUUUCUUAUUUUCUAUUUUUUUUUUAUAUUACUUGUUGCUUCUUUGUUUGCUCUUUUCUCACAAGCUGGCUUCAGCCAAAAAGAAUAGCAUAAACAGUAAGGAAUGGUAAAAUAAAUAAGAGAGAGAAAGAAAAAGAAAAGAUUAUGACAGUUGGAGAGUUAAGGUAACUGAAGAAGCAGAUUUUGACUGAAGGGUUGAGAGAAGAAAGAAAAAGACAGGAUUUUUAAUUUUAGUUUGCAUUUGUGUAGUGAAGGAGGUGGAGACACGUGUUGGGCAUGCAUGGAGUGAGGCAGAGAAUGAAGGAAAGGGUUGGGUUGGUUUUGUUUUGUGGUAACAAAUGAUGAAGAAGGCUUGUGUUCAGCUUCAGAAUGAACAAGAGUUAAAGAAGAGUUGAGUAACAAAAAAUAAAGAAUGAAAGAGAGAGAAAUUAUUAUGUUUGCCACCACCCUCUUAGCUGGACCCACAAUACCUCUUUUUUCUACUAAUUAAAAUUCUUUUUUUUUCACUUUUAACUUAUUUUAAGAUAAAUAAAUUCAAAACCAGUAUAUAUUAUUAAGCUUUAAAUAUUUUUUAGUUUCCAUAUUGUUUUUAUAUAUUUCUGUUCUUUUCAAAUUAGCAAAAUGUUAACAUGUGAUAUGAAUUUGGAAAAAAGAUAUUAUUAUAUAGAAAAAGAUAACAUGGAAACCGUUUAUUAUAGCUUCUUCUUCUUUAUUCAUAUUUAUAGAUUUAAACAGCAGUAACGUUUCUAUCGGUAAAAUAUUAAUAGGAUGAUAAAUACUGCUAUAAUUAAGUAAAAAAGAUAUCAUAUUUUUUCAAAUAAAGCAAAUAAUAAUAAUAUUGUAACAAAAAUUAAAAAUAAUUAUCUUACACAAAAAUAGUAUUAUUUAAUUGUUUUAUUGCAAUAUUUGUAUUUACUGUAUAUUUCUAUGUAUUUAAGUCACGUGAAUUAAUUUAUAUGAAAGUAAUCUGUUUUUAAAUAUAUAUAUUAAACUAUUAAUUUUAUAGAAUGCUUAUUUUAUAUACAAACAGAAAUUGGAUUGAAUUUGAUAGAAAAAAUUGAUUUACCAAUAUAAUUUUUUAAUGAGUAUUUUCAUUUAAUAGAUUGUAUUUUGAAAGAAAUUGUCUUCAAAGAAAAUACUGAGAAACAAAAAUGAAAUACUCAUUACAAAAGUUUAAAAAAUUAAAGCCGACUAAAUGUUUGAGAAAUUAUAUAUUAAAAAAGUUGCAAUAUGGUAUAAUUAAGAAAAAUAUAUUAUUUAAUUUGUUAAAAUGUGUGAAACUGGAAUAGUAUCAAAUUAAUAAAUAUUUUAAUUAAAAACAUAAGUGCAUUAUCCUAUAGAGGAGGCAAAUCUCUUUUAGAAAGGGGUGUAUGAGAAGAUAACUUUUUCUUCUCAUAUGUUCUUCUCUCAUCUCUAUAAAUUUUUAUAUUUCUAAAUUUUUUUUUUUAGUCUUUUGGAUUAUGUAAUUCAUAAAUAUUUUUUUAAAUUUAUAAUUAGUUUUUGGAUUAUAUAAUUUAAAAAUCUUUUUUCACAUACAUAAUUAGUUUCCGUAUUACAUAAUCUGCGUAAGUCUUUUUUAGUUUCCAGAUUAGGUAAUCCAGAAGUCUUUUUUCAAACGCGUGUCAAGAUUACAUAAUCUGGAAGCUAUUUUAUGGAAGUGACACAAGAAAGAUAAAAAUGUAUUUUCAUAUUUUGUAUGGAAUGACAGAAGAACAUAUGGAGGUGCAGGAAGAAACAGUCAGAGAACUGUUGAGGCAGGCCCACUAGAGGAGAAGUGCUGAGGAAGGCCCAUUAGAACAGAAGAGUGUUGGGCUGAGUUGGAGGCCUUUUGUGUGAAUAAAAUGUGAAGAAAGAUUGAAGUAAAAAUGCAAACCGUCUCUUUCAAAUUGUCUGCAACAUCAAUUCUGCAGAUGAACGAAGACAAAAAUGAAGUUAAAAUAAGAAGUUAUUUUUAAAUUAAAAGUGAAAACAAAACAAAAAUUCCAGAGAAUGAUCAUUACGAAGCUUCAGAUUCGAAAAAGGUAUAAAAUUGUAUGAAGAUGCAUUCCAUAGGUUAGGUUUGGAAGAAGACAGAAAUUAAUAAUUGAGCUUAAAACUGAUAUUUUAGCGUCGGUGAUCAUCAGCUGUGGACUUCAUUCCUUCUUCACCCAUCUUAUCCCUUUCGUUGCUUUCAUCAAAAUAAUAGCAAUUAUUAUAAAAAAAAUGAGUUGGGACUUGUUCAAAAAUCAAAAGCAGUGACUUUUUCAGAAUAUGAAAUUCCUUUUCAAAGCUUAAAGAAAGGAGGGCAAUGUAUGUUCAAAGCUUAAAGUAAUGGCAAAUUAAAUGGAUUCGUUGGCCAUGCGUUGUCCCGAAUUUUACGACAAGACAAUGUCAAACUCAAAAUCAUCUCACAUCCUCGUACCUUUGCUUUGGUUUCAAUUUUUGACAUUAUUUUUACAUUUCACAUAUCAUCACCCCAACAUUCCACAUCCUACCAAUUUCAACAAGGGAAAUCAUUCUUCUCCAUCAGUUAUGUGCACGUAUUUUCACUGUCAUCGUCAUCAUUCAUAGCAUAAAUCAAUGGUGUUCUUUCUUUCUUUGGGCUUCUCUUGAAGAAUACAGAGGAGAUAAAAUCAUUGCAAGCAAAAGUACCCUUAUCAGCUCAUUACUCACUUGUUAGGAAUGAAUUGAUGCAGUGCCUGUUACUACUCCAAUAUUUCUAUAACUAAUGUGUUUGUUUCAACUUUCACUACCUAUAUUUGCCACAAAUUCGUGUCAAAUUUGCAAGAUAACACCAGCUACUUGCACCCAAGGCAAGGUGAAGACAAUCUCCAAACAUGUAGCUAAUCUAAUUCUAAGCAAUUUACUUUCUCUUGAACAAGUGACUCAAGUUUUACGCUUCCAUUCCCUUUCCUGCAUUCCUGCCUGAGUCCUGUUAGCAAUGCAAAGCCAAUGGAAACAGAAAGGAAAGGAGGCAAAAGAAGCUGGCAUUGAAUUUCCAAGAAUGUUUUUUCCGGAGCAUUAAUAGGCAUUUGUUUGAUUCCAAAUUUAUCGAGUUUCAAACAGGCGCAAAGAGGAUUGGUAAAAAAUUAUCCCAAAGUAGGAGCUACAUUUUUAUUCCUUGUCGAUGGAACAACUGAAUUCUUCACAUAUAGAAUCACUCUGUGCUGCUACUACAUACACAUUCACACCACAAUGAAUCACAAAGGAGAUAAACAGAUUUACUUUACACAAAAAUUCUAUAUUACCAUUUACCACCCGUAUAAACUAGCCAAGGGGAAGAGAGGAGAGGAGCCUAAGCAAACAACCACCAAAAAGAGGUGUUUGGAAGAAUUUCUGAAUACAAAAGCAACGGAGCUUGCACAUAUGAGUGGAACAGCAAGUGAAGAUGGUGCAAGAACAAUGUGUCAGGGUGCAUAUUCAUGCUCAAGGGUAGGCUGCGUUCGAGUAACCGUGGCAGCAGGCGCUUUUGUGUCCCCAACAUUGGCCACAUGAAGGGCCUCUCCUGCAUCUGCAGCCCUUUCCAUCUGUUGUAUUCUCUUCUUUCGUUUGUACUUUAGCGCCCACAAAACCAGCAAACACAGCAACACCAAAAACACAAUUCCACCCAACACAGACCCCACAAUGGCCCCAACCUUCUUGCCACUUUUGCUCUCCUUUGGCACAACUGGCGGUGGUGGUGGUUGAGGUGGAGAAGGAGCAGGAGACACUGGUGGUGGCAGUGAUGGUGGCGGGGGUGGAAGAACAGAAGUCUCGGCCACGAUAGAUAAAUGGCCUUGUGUGGAGGUAGAGCAAGUGUCGCCUCCUGUUACAUUGCUGAAAUUGGAGGAACCCUGCAAAUCAAACCAAACACAUCUUGCCACAGCACCCAGAGGAGGAUCUCUGACAUCCAUAAACUUGACCCUGAUAGGGUCAGCAGAGGCACUAACAUUGAGGGUUGGUAAAUUAGUAGCUGACAAAUUGGAGCCAUUGUAGGCCAAGAGUCCGAGAACAGGAGCCAGGUAAGUGUAAUUGGGCAAAGGGUAGUACCUUUUGGACCAAUUCCCCAAAUUUUGGUACACCAAAACCAGCCUCUUCACAUACGGUUUCUCAAUGAUCCCUAUGGGAAUCUCAAACUCGUUGUAACUGGGAACAACCCCUCUUCUCCUCAAACUACCACUCCUUAAUCUCAAUGCGGCAAUCUUAACCCCACUGAAAUUGGAAGGAAGGUGAGAUGUUGCAUUGUAAAUGGUACCUGUUUUGGGUUUGACCAAAGCCCUGUAGGCAUAUUCUUGCAGAAUCGCGUCUAGUGACCUGGCUUCGCUAGAUUGAGCCUUGACACGGGGAAGAGGAGAGCAUAGCAGAAGAAGCAGAAGCAGAAACAGCAGAAGAAGAUGAUGAUGAUGAAGCCCCAUCGAGAACCAAAACAACAACAACCACAACAAUAAUAAUAAUAAUAAAGAUAAAGUUUUGAGCUGUUGGGGGUCUUAUUGAGAGGCAGGGUAUAACAUAAAGAACAAUAUUCUAAAGCGACUUUGAAGGUUUGGUCUUUGUUGUGCUGAAUUGAACCGUUAUAGGGAAAAGGCAAAGAGAAGGGUGGGGAAUCUUGCUCUGGGCUUUUGCAUUUCAUCCAUUCCUCAAAAAUCAGCUGAGUUCCAAAAGGGGAACAAGAUUGAAUUGAAGAAAAUGAAAACGAAAACGAAAUUAAAGGUGAACAGAAAGAAAGCCCUAAAUAUGAGAUGUUGAGGGAAACCAGAAUCGAAACAUGGGAAACAAUGUUGACGAGAGUCCUCCAUUACAGCAUUUGGACUCAGAUCAUACUCUGCUCCAGAAAGAGCACAGAAGGAGGAAGAGAAAGAGAUAAGUAGUAUGUGUUGCGUUGCAGAGAGUGGUUGAGGUGCAGUGGAGCACCACAACAAAAGCAGAAAGCAGGGUGAGUGUGAAUGUGUGUUUGUUUUUGUGGCCCUUCCAAAAACAAAAACACCAACAACAACAUCAACAUCAACAAACACCAACCUCUUCCAUGUCAAAUUAUUCACUCCUUCUUCCCUCCUCCUAACCCUUAUUCAAUCAUACAAUUUAAUAUUAAUUUACUUUUUUCUCUAAAUUCCUUAAUUUUACCUAAAAAACAAACCUAUAAUUCAAAAUCAUAGUUCUUUUCUAAGCACUCCAUGCAAUUAUGGCUUCAUAAUUCAAAAAAAAAACUUACAUGUUUGGUUAGAACAACUAUUUACCAACUCAUGCACAUGUUUGACGGCGCUUAACUUUACUCUAUA